rnacentral:lncRNA from 1 species
UUUUUUUUUUCUUUGAAACUUUUUGACUCUAUUCUCCUUCUCGAUACUUUUUUUUUUAGCUUUGCUGGCUUUAUCUUGAUUCCAAAUGAGGGGGAUAAAAGAAAAUAACACUAAGGCUCAAAUGGGGUAAACAAAGGAUGGCACAAUGAGUUUGGAUAGCAGAAUAAAAUACCUUCAUCAUAUCAAUCCUUGAAAAUAUCAGUACAUAGCAUACAGUGUGAAAGUGCACGAUCAACAGCAUUUAUGACAUGUUUUACAACACUAACUUCCCCAAACAUGUGUGUCACCUCUUUUUCUAUAAUUGUCAAACAUACAACUCCACCUUUGUUAUAUAUCCAUCACAUUGAAUGACUCAUGCUUUGGUGGAGUUAAUUUUCUUUCUGUUCCUCUUGAUAGGAUCACGCAGACACUGUUUGACCUAAUUAAGACAUGUCUUUCAAUUGACGACCAGUUAUUCUUGUGAUUCUCAAAAUAAUUGCCUUAAUUUUCAAAGAAGGCUUGAACUUUUCACCAAAUGUCUCAACACUCUACCUAUUUUCUCAGAUUCUCUCUUUUCUAACUUUAAACCUCUAAUUCAAUGUUCAUCCUUAAACUAGAUUUUAAGAUCUGACUGAAAAUUCCGCAGGCAUGUCAUAUCACUAGAAUCAACAUAAAAUGUACUAUAUAAAGAAAACAAACAAACAACACAUAUUUGAAACAUAAAAGGAAAGGGACACUUCAUUUAGUUGAAAUAAAAGAUAAAGGGGUUUAAACAUAAACGACAAAGGGACAAAACAAGAUAGAUCCCGAACUAAAACCCUAAAAUACUUUAGAUAAUAGAAAACAAAACAAAAUAAACUACCAGACCUCUUCCUAGUAGGGAGAGAGGUGACUUCUCAAUUGCUCAGCCUGACAACUUAGCCACUAGUUUGCAUAUCAACAUGACUAGAGUUUGCCUCACUAUCAAUGUUCUGCAACAUAAUCGAUCCAUCCUGAAUCAUAUUUUCAAUUUCCCUUUUCAAAUAUCGAUAAUAUUCAAUACUAUGACCCUGAGCAUCAGAAUGAUACGCAUAUCGUACAUUAGGGUAAAAAUUUUUUGAACGCCGAUUAAGAGUGCACCCAUUGUACCAAUCUCUGAAAUAAACUGGCAUACGGCUCUCCAAUUGGUGUGAAGUUAUCUCUCGACUUCUGCCUCAUUUCAUCAUUUGGCUUGAAUUAAAAAUCAGGCUUAGAAGGAUUUUGGUAUGUUUAUGGAGUUAGAGGAUGACUCUGAGGAGUUGGUGUGUUCCACUAUGGGUAAGAUGGGGGUUGAAUAUGUGGUUGUACGUUAUAUACUAUAUAUGGAGGGGGAGGAGCUGAGUAUAAUGGAUUUUGGGAGUGAUUAUGUGAAUCUUGGGCAUGAACUUGGGUUUGUGCCUGAGAAUGACGAUGACAGGGUCUUCUUGACCGUGCCCGCUGUUCAACUACAAUAGAAGAUGCAUCUUCCUUAUUCUUUGUCGCCCCAACACUUCCUGAACCCUUUUGAAUUGCUUGAGUUGUCAUUUUCAAUGUUGUAAAACUCACAAUGCGACCAGUCUUAAUUCCCUCUUCUAUCAUAUCCCCCAUUUUAAGGACCUUAAUAAAUGAUUUUCCUAAUGCAGGUAACAAGUGUUGAUAAUAUGUUUCAUCCUACGCUUGAAUAAACACCUUCACUAUUUGUUUUUUUCAUUGGCAAUUUUACUCUAGCAUUUUAUUAGCACCAUCUGAUCAUAUAAUCCCUGAAACUCUCAGUAUUCUUCUUUUUUAUACUAGUUAGGGAUUUUUCGUCAAGGAUCAACUCCACAUUGUAUUGAAAUUGUUACACAAAUUCAUUAGCUAGGUAAUCCCAACUAAUCCACUUGUCAUUGUCUUGGUCAACAAACCAUUUUGAAGCUAGGCCUGAAAGACUCUCCCCGAAAUAAGCCAUGAGUCGUUCUUCCUUUCCUUCAGGGCCUCUUAAUUGGUUACAAUAGCGCCUCAAAUAUGCCACUGGGUCCCCAUGUCCAUCAUAUUUCUCAAACUUUGGUAUUUUAAAGCCAGAAGGAAGGUUGACACGUGGAAACAUGCAUAAGUCUUUAUAUGAGACACUUUUGUAACCCCCAAGUCCUUCUAAUUUCUUCAUAGCUAGUUCCAAACUUCUCAAUUUUUUGGUAAUUUCCUCUUGUUCUUCUAUCAUAACAGGAUUCUCAGUGUUAGGAGGAAAUUCAAGUGGGUGAGUGUCAGCGUAAAGACCAGUCAACUUGAAUGUAGGGUCAGAAGUGUAACGCUGAUCACUGGUAAUAUUCAAUGCUGGCUCGUUUGUAGAGUAGGGAGGCAUAACUUGUGGAUGGACAUCAAAAGUAGGAGCUUCAGAUGGGGGUGGCACCAGAAAAUCAUGAACAACAGGUGGAGCUGAGUAUGUGGUAGUCUUGGAUUGGGGAGUGAGGAAAUGAACAUUGGAAGUGGUUGGAUAUCGUUUCCCCAGAGUCGAUCUUGAUGCAUGUUGUGGCAUAUCAACAAAAAUGGGAAAUUGUACAUGUGACACAGAAGGCAAGCUAGAAAGAUAUUCCAGAUUAUCAGUGGGAACUGGGGGAGUCGGCAACCCAUUAGCCCAAGCUCGAUGCAUUUCUAUCAUUUGCUACCUUAAUUUUCAAAUCUCUUCAUUGGCUCUUAAUUCUCAUUUCCCGAACUCCCUAUCUGAUUAGUGACAACAAACUCGGAAUAGUUGUUGUCCAUAACUUUCUCUGUGACUUGGUACAAUAUAGAGGACCAGCCCAAAGGCCACAAACCAAUCACCUUAAAUUAACUGAACAAGAGAUAGCAAAUGUGUUAGAGUUCAACCAUUUUUCAAAACUUUUUCUGAUUUUCUAUUAAAAAGGUCACCGAACCCAAGAAGGGCGCCUACGUAUCUCACUCCCGAGAGAAGAGAAUCAGGUGUGCGUAGUUCAUGAAGUUUUGCCAAAAUGACCGACCAAACUCUUUUUCCUUUCUUUUCUUUGUUUUCUUAAAACUUUAAAAAAAAUAACAAAUUGUCAAAAGAAUUGAUGAAAAUCUUUUUGCAUUUUCCUCGUUUAAAAUUCCUAUACAAAAUGAAACCUAUGAUUACCCAAGAAAAAAAAUUUUGGGUUUUCAAUUUUAAAUUUCAUAGGAAAAUGAAACUUGAACCUAUUAAAGAAAAAUCUUUUUGUAGUUUUCUUUCAAAGAUGUAUAUGAAAGACUUACUCUAAAUAAAGGGUGAAGAAAAUUUUUUUGAAUUUUUUUGAAAUAAGAUCCCCGAACCCACAAUAGGCUGCCUACAUAUCUCACUCCCGAGAGAGGAGAAUCAGGGGUGCGUAGUUCGUCCAUAUUGGACAAUUAAGGAUUAGGUAACAAACUAAAACUUAACUUGAGUGACACGAUUACAAACAGACGAUGAAAGUAAAAUCUUUUUUGGAUUUUUUAAUUUGACACUUCAUACAAAAAUGACACCAACAACUAUGAAAGAAAAAUCUUUUUUUUUAAUAUUUUUGAUAUGAAAUAUAUAAAACUUCUACCAUUUUUCAUUUUCUUUUAUAAAAACUGCUAAAAAAUCUAUUUUGAAAAUUUCGAAUUAUGAAUGCAUGCUAAAGGAGACAAAGUGAGAAAUCUUUUUGAUGUUUUGGUUUUUGAACAAAUGAGUGCAGAAAAUAAAGAAAUCUUUUUGAAUUUUUGAAUUGUGAAAAACAAAAGCCAUAAAGAACACUAAAAGCUAUGCAACUCUUUUUUUUUCAAAUGGUUUCUUGCCUACAUACUUUACUUUUAACACAUAUUUUUCCCAAAUCAGUCUAUCAAAUGACCAUGUUACCCUCAAAGAUGCAACAUUUAGCACGUAGGGAUGCUUUAGAGGUGAGUCUCCUACAAAGGGCCAAGUAAGCCCUGCUAGGUCUUCAAUAUGAUGCACAUAAGCAUGACCUAAAGGCUGACCUACGUUGCGGUUCACUAACAAGGCUGUUCGGGGGAGCGUAUGGUCGAUAGUGGCUGCUUUGCUUUCCACUUACUCCAUAACACCAAUGGCUCCCCUCCUAAAAUAAGGGUGACUCAACUAGAGGUCGUGUACAACACGUGUACUACGGACAUGUUACAGAAAGAAUGACUCAGGUUAUGCACAUGAUGUCAGAUAUAAAGUGGUAACACAUAAAAUAAAAACUGUAAACAAAGAGCACGUAGGCACUCAACAGUAAUAAUACAAUAACACAAAAUAACACAAACAAAAUGUUCAUACACCUAUAGUGCCAAACUAAGCCGAUACAACUCCAAAAUAAGCUCAAAUUCUAAAAUAGUCCCCAGUAAAGUCGUCAGAGCAGUCCUAUUCUAAACUAAUCCUAGAGUAAUGCUCUAACCGACGCUUUGGGUCUUCAUCACGAAUGUCCUCUGGGUAAAAAUAUUUCAUGGCAUUCCCUGGCGAAUAAACACAAAGCCAAAUGAUAUUUUGAUCCAAAAAAACCAUAAAAACAAGACAUUCAACACACAAUUUUCAAUAUUCAAAUUCGAUGAGUUCUAAAUUUGCCUACCCGACCCUACUUUUUACCUAUUCAUUUCAAUAUGUAAUAAUUCUAUCACGUUUCAACGACAUUCAUACUUAUUUAAAUGAAACAACAGUAAACCAAAAGAAAUCUAAAUUCACAUUUUUAUCAAUAUCUCAAUCCCACCCCCAAAUUCAUUCUCAACCCUAAUUUUGGCAUCUAAUUACCAAUUUCAAUUAUUCAACCAGAUAUUACUUUCAUCCAAUUUGUGCCAUUCAAAGACAAUCAUUCAAUACAACAUAUAUCAAGCAACAAAUCACCCGAUAGAACAAACACAUCAAAAUACCUUCAUAAUUAUAUAAAAAUAAAGGAAUAGAGAUGAAAAGUGGACCGCAAAAGCUUUUUUGAUUCAAAUAUUAUUUGGAUGAAAAGAAUAAAUUUCUAUUCUGAAUCCGUGAAUUAAACCUCGACCAACGAGCAGAACCUCAACAAUACCAAACUCGACCCCAAAUCUCGCAACUCUAGACGUCGACAAGCGAAAUUCAAUUGGCGAAGAACAAGAUGAAGAGAUGGGAUUUUGAUCAUGAAAAUAAAAGAAACAGGGGGCUACGCUCAAUUAAUUGGCUAUUUUGUUGCUGUUUUAACAUUUUUGGGAUGGGAAGGGACUGGCAGCUUCAAGAGAGUUGAGGUAAACUAUCGAUUUGGCCAACUUGCUAGCUAAACUAAAGUUUUUAGGCAGAAUUUCGCUAGAGAACAGCUUUUCUGAUUCACCCCUUAUUCCUCUCUCUCUCUCCCCUUCUCUAAUAACCAGUGUGCAUAUAAAUUUCCAGUCAACUAUGCGUGGGGGAUUCUCUUCUUUUCAGUGAGUAUCUUGAGUGUGUAUUCUGAAUAGAUGGGAAUCGGGUGCUUAUGAAGAAAACACUAGUGUGUGCUUAUUGUGUUUGGUGUGUUCUGUGAGUAGUCAUGAAGGAUAAAAGAUUAUUUUGGUGAGGUUUUUCCACCUAUGGUGCCUAUUAUAUAUUGCUAUAUAUAGAGGUCCCUUUUUGGAUCCUUUCCACGAAGGUUCCUAGUGGGGCCCCUGUGUAAUUGUCCUUUUUUCUUCUUUUUAUUUAUCAUAGUGUGGUGAAUAUGCUCCCUUUUUUUUGUUAAAAAAAAUGUGAAGGGGUUAAUGGAGUAGGGUGUAGGGUAGGUGGGGUAGGGUGAGUUAGUUAGGAUAAAAUUUGUUAGGAUGAUUAAAACAAGAUAAAAUUUGUUAGGAAGUUUAUUAUUUUUGUUGUUUUAUGGGAAAUUAUGGAAUGGAGUUGGAGUGCAUGGUAAGAUUAGCUAAAAUGAAUAAAAUUGGACUUCAGAAGGAACAAUAUUAGAUGUCUACAAAUAAUACUAUGAGUUGGGGAUUUCAUGAAGCACAUGGUUAUCAUAAUAUUGUACAUGGAUAGGAAUGCAUAUAAUCAUGUCAUAAGCUCAUACUAUAAUAUCAAGAGCAUUCCAACAAAUAUCUACGAUGCACAACAAUAAGAUGGUAAUUGGGAUUCAUACUUAAACUGAAUGUUGGUUCUGACAACUAAGUUUUAGACUGGUAUGAAGUACUGAAUUUUGAUAGCUAAGUAACUGAUAAUUGAAAGCCAUGGUCCUGUAGGACUAUCUGAGUCCUUUACUAAAUAUCGAUUACUGAACUAAUGUUGUAACUUAGGCUUGAGGAAUGAAACAUCGACACCACGGAUUCAUCGAGGGAUCUAUACUGAAGGUUUUAUGACAUGAUAUGAGUUUUGUUGAUCACUAAGAGUGGAUCAUGAGCCAUGUAAGCUGCGUAAUAUAUACAAUAUGACAUGAGUGUAUGAUUCAUGAGCCGCAUAACCUAAUUCAGAAAUUUCUAUACUCAUGGAACAGGGUUCGAAAUCACUGAGUAAACUGGAACUCUUCAUACUAGGAAUUGGAAACGCACAUAAUUCUAUGGAAGGUGUGUGAAUGUAAGUUGUGUUCAUGGAACAUGAUUCGUAUUGUGGAGUAAACUCGAACUCCUUAUAUUGGGAACUGAAAUCCUAAAUGAUUUUCAGUAACGUGCAAAAUUUAUGCGAUGAUCACGGAGCUGACAUGUAGGACAUGAAUAGGUAUCAUGGUAACUGGUGGGUUAUGAGGGUUGUUAGGAAAUAAGCUGACCUCUGAAUGCUGAAGUACUACCCCUCCACUCGAGGAUGCGUUCUCUCAUAAACUGAAAUUGAACAAUUUUGUUUUUGCAGUCGACUGUGGCAUAGCAAAAAUGAAGCUAAUCUAUGCCGAAAAUGACAUCAAAAUUAGUUGUCUCUAAUUCAACUAAGUCUGUUGAAGUGACUUUCUGAUAUACCAUAAUCGGGCAGUUCCUGUAUACCCAUAGAGCUAUGAUGGUUUUACCCAGUAGGGUAGAUACUGAGAAUGGCUUUGCUAGAAUUUCGGGACUGGCUCUAAAAUCAGCUACUAUAUAAGGAGUAACAAAAUUCAAGGAAGCUCCUGGAUCUAGCAAAGCAUAAACAUGUAAGUGAAAGAUAUGUAUCAUACCAGUGAUUACAUCAGGGGAAUUUUCCUGAUUAUGUCGGGACUUAAAAUCAUAGAGUCUGCCUGGGCGUUGACCACUGGUAGCACUGGAGGUGGCAACCUGCUGAUUUGGGUGACUGGACUAAACUGAAGGACGGUUAUGUGGACUUUGGGGACCAGGCUUGGGACAGUCUUAGACUUUGUGACCCGACUUUCCAUAUACAAAGUAUGCACCACUGUCGGCUUUACACAUACCUUUAUGGUUCUUGCCACAAGUCUAACAAAGGCGAUUGGUUCGAGCACUAUUACCACUGCCCUAAGGUCUAGGGCCUAACGCUCUAUCUCUAUUGUUGUCUCUAAAUUUAGGCACUUGAGCAUUGGAUGAAGAAAGUGAUGAGACUAAAGAUUUUGGGCAGAACCGAAAACGAUAACCACCCUCUGACUUAGGCUGAUUAAAACUGAAGCUACCUAUCUAACUCUCUUAUUUUCCCUCCUUCUUCUUUUCUUCCUGCAUUUCCCCACCUCAAUCUGUUGGGCAUGAAUCAUAUGCCUGUGUGGGACAAUAGGUUAUUGAUUGCUUUGAGCUACUACUGAGUAAGAUAACAUAAAGGAGUCGGUCCUAAAUUUGCCAUGGAAGACAUGUUCAUCCAGGGAAUCUGCCUAAAUGGGUAGUGGUACUGACUGAUUCCUGGUUCUUCUUUCUUUAGUCCUUUUGGGAGGCAUAUUCUAUAAACAAAAGGGAGAUGCGGAUUAGACUAAAAUUUUAACUGGGUAUCAUGCUCACUGGCACGACAUGAAUACUGAAAGAAGGGAAAUUGUUCCUAAAACAUCUCAUUGCCUCUUAUCCAUAAGUGUGGUGCACGACACACCCAUGCACAAGACUCUACUAGAUGAGGCUUUUCAGACUUCCUAGAAUACUGUUGAACCUUAGACUUUGAUACCAAGUUUGUAACGCCCCAAACCUGGUGCCUAAAAUGCUACCCGAUGCUUAUGAACUCGAAGGACCAUAAGCUAACCCAUGACUAAUAUCUAGACCUGAGUACUGCUAUAUAUACAUAUUAUACUAUGUGGAAUAUAAAUUGCAAAGGCCGUAAGGUUCAAAACAUGUAUAACUUCUAAAUAAAGCAAUAUCUAAACGGGGCUUCAAAACAUGUAUAACUUCUAAAUAAAGCAAUAUCUUUUCUCUUUCGUUUACAGAAAAUGCCUCCCAAGAACAGAACUAGAAAUCAGUCAGUGUAACAACUCGAUUUUUUGAACCAGAUUGCUACAGGUGCUCAUGACCCCGAAGGACCACAAGCUAACCCAUACUGAUAUUUCUACCUAUAUACUACAUAAAAUACUGAAAAAUAUGGAAACAUGAACUAAAAGGCCAUAAGAUUCAAACUGGAUAAACAUCUGAUAAGAAUAAUGUCUAAAAAUGGUAUAACAAUACCAAAACAACUGAGAUAACUAUUUGAACAUACUAUAGUCUGAAAGCCUCUAAAUUUUCUGAAUAAGGAGUUGAUGGGACAUGUCCCUAACUAACUCCAUCUACUAAAAUAAACUAAAAACUGGAAUAGUAAUAUAAUCAUCAUGUCCUCAAAGGAUGAGGACUCAUAGCUGACUCUGACUGCUGAACUAGGAUGCUACUGAUGCUCUGGAGCUCAUGCUUCUAAACCUAUGGUAUAAGACACCAUAGCGCAAAUGCAUCAGUACUUUGAAUGUACUGGUAUGCAAGUGAGGUAGGCUAAAUACAUAAGGUUCAUAUGCAUGAACAAUACUGACUAAUAUGAAUGUGAGAAUACAUACAUACAUACAUACGUAACUGUAACUGACAUCGUGGUAGGACUAAAUACUAAAUUCUAACUACUGAGUUUACUGAUAUUGACAUCUAAGUCACUGAUGAGUGAGGAACUAAUACUGUAUUACUGAAUAUUGAGGGACAGAUACUAUGCUACUGAUACAUGAAUAACUAUGUCUGACCAUUUGGAUUAUGAAGAACGGAUCUGGAUGACUGUAUCUGAUAGUCCUAAAGCUAAAUACUGAUAACAUGAGUUCUGAUAAUUGAUAUAACUAAUAACAUGAGUGACUGUAUCGAACAGUCCUGAAUCUGAUGGAACUAUUUGAGUUCUAUACUGUAUCUGAGUUGACUGAAUCUGACAGUCUUGGAAUUUAAAGAACUAUUUGAGUUCUUUUACUGAGACUGAUUGACUGUAUCUGACAGCCCUGAUUCUGUAACAUGAAAUUGUGGGAAGUAUUAUUUAACCGAUAUGCCCCAUAUAUGCUAUUAUAGCUGAGCUAGGGACCAAUCUCUUCCCUGACUGGAAGGGUGUCAAUACUGUGCCACUGGUAAGGACAAUAUGUGAGUAACCCUUAUAUACCAGGCAAAUCUAGUGAGAACGGUGGGAACCCUCAUAUAACAGGUUAAUCCACCUCAUCUAACCUCAUAUAGAAGGCUAUGAUAACUCAACCUAUGUUGGCUACAUAGUUCUGGAAUGCAAGGAUUGCUUCUAGGAAUCACACCCUUAUAUAACAGGUGAGUUCCCAUCCUUGGGUUCACUCGGUACUAAUCCCUACUCCCAUAUGAAUGGACACUGAACAUAAUUUACUAAACUGAUCAACUGAGCUGAACUGAUUAACUAAACUGAAAUAAUUAGCUGAACUGAACUGGACUGAGUUAACUGAACUGGUACUAGUGGUAUUAUUUAGUGGAGCUAAACUGUAUCUACUAAGUUCCUUUGACUAACGGAAUGUACUGAGAUCUGAGGACUGAUUGAGAGUACUGAGGUUACUAAGACUUACUUGGAAUACUAAGAUUACUGAGAUUAUUGAGUACUGAGAUCACUGAGAUAACUGAACUACUGAGAUUACUAAGAUUUCUAAUUCAUAUGACUGACUGAAUUCUAUGGAUCAUAGCUUGACUGAGAUUAUCGUGAAAACAUGACAUGGCUCUAGGCACACAGCUAAAUUUUCGGUUACAAGUACCCCCAGGACUCGAUGAGAAGAAACUGACAUAGCAUGGCUUACUUAAACAUAUGACCAACAACACAAUUCAUAAUUUAUAUAGUGAAGCCCUUCAUCAAACAUGUGAUAUGCAUAAGCUUGUACAUACAUUGGGAUUUCAUGAUAUCAUACUAGUUCGGCAUUGUUCCUUCAUCUAGUUAUUUAAUCAAACACAUGGUAGGCAUAGCACAUGUAGACAACAUUAUACAACAAUUAAUCAUCAUGAUUCAUCUCUAAUUUCAUCAUCUAAGGUUUAUUCAUAGGUUCAUAUGAAUAUACAUCUAUACAAAUAAAUUCCACAUAAAUUGAUCACCCAACAUGGAUUUGAAUUCAAUUGAUCAUUCUCAACAUAAACAAAACAAACCCAACAUGAAAUUCAUAAAGAAAUCCAUAAACGUAAACUUAGAAAAGAGAUUCUUGGACUUCAUGGACGAAAGGAGUUCAUUAAUGAACACUACGCAUACCUUAUCUUGUGAUUCUACAAAGAUUGAUGGAGAUAUUCUUGAAAUUUGACGGUUAAUUCCCUUGCAAUUGAACCUUCUAUGAAAACCCUAGGGCUUAUUCUUGAGAGUUUUUUAGAGUAAUUGAGUAUAAGCUGCAGCCAAAUCUCAUGUUAUAGGCUUAUAUAGGGUGGAAAAUUAACCCUUUUAACCCUAGGACACGUCUUUAAUUUCUAAGAAAAUUUCCCAAUUGUCAUCCUUGGCGCGACGUGCCACUAUCGCGCCAAGUCAUUGGAAAGUGACAAAUGGGAAAUUGUACGGUGGCACGAUGUGGAGCUAUCACGUUACCACCUUGUCUAUGACCUGGAAGUUUGGCACGACAUGCCACUAUCACGGAGCAAUACUGGAAAUUGGCAAUUUCCAUUUGAGCUAUCUUUGUGACGCGUUGAAGGCUCAGGUGAUACACUGUCUCACUAAAAAGGCUCUAACUCUUCACCCGGGUGUCGAAUUUGGGCAAAUUUUGUAUUGAUGGAAAGCUUAUUGAAUUUCUCACAUGAAAAGAAUUGAAAAUAUUGAAAAUACCACAUCUAUAAAAGUGGAUUCAUCUUUCCAAAAAAAUUUCUAACACUCUUGGGAAAAUUUUUCAAGCUAGAAAAAGUACAGGUAUUACAAUAUCUUCCCCUUGAGAACAUUCGUUCUUGAAUGAGACUGACUGAGAGAGGGGAUAACAUAAACUGACAUACAUACUGAACAUGAAUAACUGAAACAUGAUCUCUUGACUGACAUAACUGAAGAGCUGAAUAUAACAUACUGAACAUAUAUAUCUGAUGAAUGACUAAUAAGUUGAAUUCAUGCAUAUCUGAUGCAUGACUGAUAGUUGACUUAUGAAUACAUGACUGAAUGUUCUGAUGAACUAAAUUUCUCACAGUAAGAAGUCAUGUCUGAUGCAUGAUUAUAUAACUGAACUAAUAUAUGAAUGCAUGACUGAAUAUGCAAGAGUACUUAGUACCAAGUUUGUAAUAGGGAUCUGAGCAUGAACUAAAUACCAAGUUUGUAAGGGUAGUUUGAACAUGGAACUGAGUAAGUUUAAGAAAACUAUUACGUGACUGAAAGGCACUGAUGACCCCAUGAUUAUGCUAGAAGUAUGCAUGAACGGGGACCUGAGAACAUGACUGAGGUUGAAAUAUGGCAUAUAAACUGAAUUUCAUGAACUAAACUAAGUCACUAAGUCUUGAACACAUGACGUACAACUAAGGUUGGAGCUUAAGGGUUAACUUAUGAGUACCCCCUAAUCCUAAACUGGAUUCAUUACGUGAAGAGAGAAUGGAAUGCUUAUGUUAUAAAAGUUUGAGAAAUUAUAGCAUAUCUCCCCCUUGGGACACUAGAUCCCUCUAGGAAUACUAUCUUGACUGAGCUACUGAGAAAAACUGAGGCGAUGCAUAAGGCACCUAGGAAUUUUGUCGUAACUAAUUAUCUUAGAUCUAAGACUGAGGCAUGAUACAUAAACUAAGCUGAGCUUGCACCUAUCUAAUUGGUUCAUCUUAGAAUGAUUACAUCCUUUCAUAAGAUUUCAGCUAGAGCACAUAGCUGGGGAUAUGGAAACCAAACUAUAUGAAUUUGUCUGUAUAAGACAGCUGAGUAAGAAAAUCAUAACUUCAUUGAGAUUCGGUAAGAUGAGUUGAGGCCUACUAACACCAUUUAAUAUGAAAUGACUAAGCCUCUUGCACUACAACUAACACUACUGAAAAAAUUCAUGAGGUGCUGAGUACGAAUGCGUAAACAUACUGACUUAUCUGAUUAACUAGAUAACUGAUAGCUGAAUACUGGGUAUGAGAGAUUGGUUUGUACUUAGUCCGAAUAACUGGACUAAGGUUGUAAAACAUUAUGCAUAGGAUAUAAUGAUUGACUGGAUAACAUGAGGUAACUGGGCAUGGAUUUAUAAAAACUGUAUUACCUCAAGAAUGCUAGGCUAAGUGUCUAAUAUGAUUGGGAACAUCUUGUAAACUGAGGUAUUGAGGUACUGCUGACUGAGUAAUCGAUAACUAUAUCAUUGUCAAGCUAUCCUAAAAUUGGACUGAACUUCUAAUAACUGACGUUUAGACUGGUGCUAAAGUAUUUAAUUUUAGGACUGAAUACUGAUUCCUGAAACUGAAUAAUGAAACUAUAACUGAUAUGGUAACUAAAUUUGGAUAUAUACAUGAUGAGGACUGAUAUAAAUCAAGGAUCUAAACGUAUACUUGUACCCUAUACUUUCCCCAAAUUAUAAAUGCAAUCUCUUGCUAGCCACUUACUUGCACGCUACUACAGCAUUCAAGCCUAUCAUCAUAACUGCACCUUUGUGUAAAGUAAGAAGGCAAAAAUCUCCUCUUAACAUGAAUUAUUUACUCUAUCUUCUAAGCAACUGCUAAUUACUAUACUAUUUUCACACAGAGAGCUCAUUGAAGGGUUAAAUCAGGAGGACCUGAAGCAUGAAUGGAUACUGACUGAACUUGACACUUGAAAUGAAGCCUGAGGAAUAGAAUAUCAAUAACAUGGAUUCACCAAAAUGGUUUAAACUAAGGAUAUACAUGAAAUGUCUAAGUUUGGCUGCUCACUAGAAUUGGAGCAUGAGUCAUGUGGACUGAGCAUACUAUAAAGCAUGGCAUAAGUAUGUAGGUCACGAGCUGCAUGACCUGAGUAUAAAAUUUCUAAAUUUGUGAGACAUAAUUCAUAACACUGAGAGAGCUGGAACUAAACUCCUUAUGCUGGGAACUGAAAGCCCACAUAAUUCAUGAAAAGUGUGAGAAAGUAGGUUAUGUUCAUGGAACUAAUUCAUACUGUAGCGUAAACUGGGAACCCUUAUACUGGGAACAGAAACCAUACAUGAUUUAUGGAAAAAUGAAUGAGCAUAAUUCGUGACUAUAGAGUUGACACGAAAGGCCUAAGUUGAUUUCAUGAUAGCUGAAGUGCAAAACUCUACACUGAGAUAAGGAUGGGUUGAGAAUCAUCUUCCCUUACUACUUUCUGUACAUACUGGCACUACUACUAGAAUCUGGGAGCCUGAAAUGGGUCACUCGAUCUAUCAUCUCCCCCUUGGUUUUAAGCCAUCAUCAUAAGUCUGUAAACACUUUACUAAAUAUGCUUUCUUUACUAAACAUAUCAUCUGAUUUUAUUUCUUUAUAUACUACUAAUAUCACAUCCACACCUUCAAGCCUAAUGUCAUAUCAAUAAACUUAAAUUCUUACUCAUAUUGUUCAAGCCUACUGAUUAACUUUGGUAUAACUAUUCCUAUGAAUAAUAAUCUGUUCAACUUGGAUCAUGUUAUCCUAACUCUACUACUUCUAAACUCCUGAGUUCAUGCUUCUAACUCUAGGUCAUAUGCUAUCAUAUAAUUUGGAGAAGAGAUCUGAUGACAUAUAAGUUCUCAUAAUCAUGAAUAAGAGUUGUACAACUUUGGAACAUAAUUAAACUGAUGGGAUACUUUUGAGCUUGUGGGCAAUCCUAUAACUGACUAUAGGGUCCGUCUGAGAAAGCCCUAUCUCUAGGACUCGAGCUUCACUACUUUUGUUACCUUGAAAGUAAGGUAAAAUUAACAUGCAUGAAGCAUGAUGAGAAUCUACAAGAGUUUCUUAAAGAACCUUUCUAUAGCAUGAUCUGAGACAUGAAAGAAGGGAAAUUAUUUCUAAAACAUCUCAUAGCCUCCUGCACAUAAGUAUGGUGCACAAAACACGCCUGUACAAGACUCUACUAGAUGCAGCUUUCCAGACUUCCUAGGACACUAUUGAACCUUAGGCUCUGAUACCAAGUUAGUAAUGAUCCGAUUUUCUGAACCUAAAUGCUACAUGAUGCUCAUGACCCUAAAGGACCAUAAGCUAACUCAUGACUGAUAUUUGUAUCAAUAUACUACAUAAAAGACUGGAAAAUGCAGAAAUAUGAACUAAAAGGCCAUAAGGUUCAAAUUGGAUAAACAUCUAAUAAGAACAAUGUUUGAAAAUUGUAUAACAAUACCAAAACAACUGAGAUAACUGUCUGAACAUACUAUAGUCUAAAAGGCUCUAAACUGCCUGAAUAAUGAGUUGAUGGGACAUGUCCCCAACUAACUCCAUCUACUGAAAUAAACUAAAAAUUGGAAUGGUAAUGUAAUCAUUAUGUCCUUGAAAGAUGAGGACUCAUAGCUGACUCUGACUGCUAAACUGGGAUGAUACUGAUGCUCUGGAGCUCGUGCUUCUAAACCUAUGGUAUAAGACACCAUACCACAAAUGCGCCAGUACUUUGAAUGUACUGGUAUGCAAGUGAGGUAGGCUAAAUACAUGGGGUUUAUAUGCCUGAACAAUACUGACUGAUAUUAACAUGAGAAUACAUACAUACAUACGUAACUGUAACUGACAUCGUGAUAGGACUGAAUACUAAAUUCUGACUACUGAGUUUACUAAUAUUGACAUCUGAGUCACUGACAAGUGAGGAACUAAUAUUGUAUUCCUGAAUACUAAGGGACUGAUACUAUGCUACUGAUACAUAAAUAACUAUGUCUGACAGUUCAGAUUAUGAAGAACUAAUCUGGUUGACUGUAUCUGACAGUCCUGAAUUUAAAUACUGAUAAUAUGAGUUCUGAUAACUGAUAUAACUGAUAACAUGAAUGACUGUAUUUGACUGUCCUGAAUCUGAUGGAACUAUCUGAGUUCCACACUGUAUCUGAGUUGACUAUGUCUGACAGUCUUGAAAUCUGAAGAACCAUCUGAGUUAUUUUAUUGAGACUAAUUGAUUGUAUCUGACAGUCCUGAUUCUGUAACAUGAAACUGUGGGAAGUAGUAUUUAAGCGACAUGCCCUAUAUAUGUUAUUAUAGCUGAGCUAGGGUCCAAUAUCUUCCCUAAUUGGAAGGGUGUCAAUACCGCACCACUGGUAAGGACAACAUAUAAGUAACCCUCAUAUAACAAGUAACUCUAGUGAGAAUGGUGGAAACCCUCAUAUAAUAGGUUAAGCCACCUUAUCUACCCUCAUCUAGUAGGCUACGAUAUCUCAACCUAUGCUGGCUACAUAGUUUUGGAAUGCAAGGAUUGCUUCUCGGAAUCAUACCCUCAUAUAACAGGUGAGUUCCCCUCCUUUGGUUCACUCGGUGCUAAUCCCUACUCCCAUCUGAAUGGACACUGAACAUGAUUUAUUGAACUAAUCAAAUGAGAUGAACUGAUUGACUAAACUGAACUGAUUAGCUGAACUGAACUGGACUGAAUUAACUGAACUGAUACUAGUGGUAUUAUUUAGUAGAGCUAAACUGUAUUUACUGAGUUCCUUUGACUGACGGAAUGUACUGAGAUCUGAGGACUGACUGAGAAUACUGAGGUUACUAAGACUUACUUAGAAUACUAAGAUUACUGAGAUUACUGAGUACUAAGAUCACUGAGAUAACUGAACUAUUGAGAUUACUGAGAUUUUUGAUUCAUAUAACUGAAUGAGUUCUAUAGAUCAUAGCUUGACUGAGAGUAUCGUGAAAAUAUGACAUGGCUCUAGGCACACAGCUAAAUAUUCGGUUACAAGUACCCCCAGGACUCGAUGAGAAGUAACUGAAAUAGCAUGACUUACUUGAACACACGACCAACAACACACUUCAUAAUUCAUAUAUUAAAGCCAUUCAUCAAACAUGUGAUAUACAUAAGCUUGUACAUACAUGGGGAUUUCAUGAUAUCAUACUAGUUCGGCAUUGUUCCUUCAUCUAGGCAUUUAAUAAAACACAUGGUAGGCAUAACCCUGGGACACGUAUUUCAUUUCUAAAAUAAUUUCUCAAUUUUUAUCCUGGGCACAAUGCGCCGCUAUCGCACUAAGUCGCUGGAAAGUGACAAAUGGGAAAUUGCACGGUGGUGCGGUGCGGAGCUAUUGCAUUUCCACCUUGUAUAUGACCUGGAAGUUUCGCGCGAUGCACCACUAUAGUGGAUAAACACUAAAAAUUGACAAUUUCCAUUUGAGCUAUCUCCGCGACGCGCUGAAGGCUCAGGUGAUACACUAUCUCACUAAAAAGGCUCUAACUCUUCGCCCGGGUGUCGGAUUUGGGCGAAUUUGGUAUUGAUGAAAAUCUUAUUGAAUUUUCCAUAUGAAAAAAAGUGAAAAUAUUGAAAAUACCACAUAUAUAAAAGUGAAUUCAUCUUUCAAAUAAAGCUUCUAACAUUCUUGGGAAAAAUUUUCAAGCUAGGAAAAGUACGGGUAUUACAGUUAGCCCCUCAGCCUGUAGAUCCUUUGAAUGAGAAUAUGUCACAUGUAGAGUUCCAAGAAACUUUUCAAGUGCUAUUCCAAGCUGUGACAACUAUUUUUUAGGGUAACCAUUAGGUUGCAUCCCCACCGUAGCAAGAUGGAGAUUCAGCCUCAGCCUAAAUCAGAGAUUUCAUGAAAAUGAACCCGCCAGAAUUCUUUGGGUCAGUAGCAGGUGAGGACCCAUAAUUUUAUCUUGAGGAGGUAAAGAAAAUCACCUAAAUAAUAUAUGUUUAUGAGGAUAAGAGUGUCGAAUUAGUGUCCUAGAGGUUGAAGGAUAUUGCUCAUGAUUGGGUAGUUAUGUGGAGGAAGAGUAGAGGGGAGGAUGCAGUUCCCAUGACUUGGCAGUUAUUUCAAGAUGCCUUUUUAGAUAAGUUUUUCCCACUUAAAAUAAGAUAAUAUAAGGUAGAGGAGUUUAUGAACUUAAAGAAGGGCUCCAUGACAGUAAAGGAGUAUUGUCUUAAGUUCAAUCAGUUGGCUAAGUAUGUCCCUUAUCAGAUGGCUGACACUAGAUCUAGCGUGAGUAAGUUUGUGACCGGCAUGUUUGGGUUGGUAGUUAAGGAGUGUAGAAUUGCUAUGCUCAAAAGAUACAUGGAUCUUGCUAGGUUGAUGUUGUUGUAACGCCCCAAAAAUAGGUUCCGAGAUGUCACACGAUGUUUAAGGCUACAAGUAGCCCCAAGCUAACCCUUUGAGCCUGUUACCGCUUCUAAUACUUACUCUAAGAUAAACUGAGCAAAAAUUAGAGUAUUGUUAUAUCAUAUCUCAAACUUUAAUAUCAAGAGAAUACUAUCUAAAUAAUGAAAUAAUGACAGUCUGAAACAUAACUAACAGUCUAGUCUGACAAAGCCUCUACUACUCAUAAACUAGAGAGCCAUUAGAACAGAUCCCAACUGACUCAUACUCAAAUGAAAAGAAGUAAAACAACUAUAAUUAAAACUGAAUGUCUGAAUAAUCGGUCCUCAAACCAUGAGGAAUCACCACUGUAGGAAAGUAUACCAAGGUACUCGGAAUUACUGAUGUUGCUGGGACUGAGAACCUGAACCUACAUUAUGAGGAAAUGUAGCACAAAGAUGAGUAUUUAGAUCAGUACCUGAGAAUGUACUGAGUAUAUGGGGGUGUAUGCAAUUAAAUAAUAAAUAUCAUAAAUCUUUAUAGAAAACAUGCAUGCUAUUAUAGAUGACUCACAUAGCUUGAGUAAAAUUCUCAUAAAUCAUGAUUAAGAGGCAUAUAAUAUAAUAUAAGUCACGUGAGUCAUCACACUUUAUUUCUCAAUUUGCAUUCUUCCUUUGUUCUCAAACUUGUAGAAUAGCUAAAUAUUCUUAAAAAAACAACUUUCAGAACAUACACUUUAAAUCUUAUGAAAACAAGGAACUUCUUUGGAACUUAAAUAUUAUGACACUUGGGAGACUUUGGGAGUUUUUUCUAACCGACAUAAACCAUGUGAGCUUACAUGGAGUCCAACGUCUUGCCCACGUUGGGGAGAGCUUCUCUAUCCUUGCCAUCGGAGUAGAACCUUUAACUUUUAAUGAUCACUAGCUUAACCCACUUGGGGUAAAUCAAAUCCUACGGUGGCUCAUAGUUCUGGGGCAUAAGACCUUGGAAUCAAGUCUAACUUAGUGUUAAAUACUAGUCCCUUACUUAAGAUUAGAACUUUCAAGAAAAUCUACCUUAAACAAAUCAAAAGUAUGCAAUGGAAGCCAAUUAUGCUUUCCUAUAACUUAAACCAAAGUGGUGUGGAUUUUUUUCUAAGCUUAGGAUCAAAAUCAACUCUUUUCUUGAAACUUUAAUAAACAAUCAACAUCAAUCUUUAAAACCUUAAUACCAUAGGGAUAUCAAUAUAAAUCUUGAAAACACUUUAGGAAAUACCAACAUUUCAUUCUUGGACAUUAAAGCUUGUAUAUUCUUAAGGGAUCAAAAUAUCACCAUAAAGCUUAUUUCAUGACAACAAUCUUGGAAACACUUGAAAACAUCACAUUAAUAUAGGAAUGUGUAAUUUGUAGCAUGAAUUAUCAAUUCAAAUCAUAAAUAUGUAAAAUAAUCAUGCACUUCAAGACUUGGAUAAUUUAUAAUCUCAUAAACUUGAAAUAUAGCAAACUAGUCAUAAUUUCAACUUGAAAAUCUGAAAUUCUUUGAGAAAAAACAAAGCUUUAGGCACAAGAAUGAAAGAGGUGUUCUUGUUCAAACCCCACAUACCUUGAAUUCGAAGCUUUGAAUGAACUCUUAACUUUGGAUUUCUAUUCGUGAAACUAAUGGGUGCUUCUUGUAGCCCUCGGAAUGGGGAUUCUAAAUUGUUAAGAAUUAUUGAAAAGCUACGGUUGAAUCUUGAGAUAUAUGGAUUUUUGGGUUGAAACCUUAAGGAAUGUUCUUGGUAAAUUUUGAUGAAAGUGAAUAUAUUUUGGUGAUUUAGGGAUUAAAUCCUAUGUUGGAGUUGAUAAGGGAAUGGAAAAUACCAAGAUUACCCUUAAUAAGAUGGAUAAGAAGCUGAAAAUUUGUACCAGACGGACUUAGCAAGGUGUCGCCUCACCUACUCCACCGCUAUAGCCAGGGCAACGCGGGCCUAUCGCCUUUAGCUACUAUUUUACCAACCUAAAAAUGACCUUAAGCUCAUCUAAAAAUUCUAAAAAUCACCUAAUAUGUACUCUUAACUUUCCCCAUCGCAAUACAACAAAAAAAUCAACAAACGGAGGUCAGGAAGGUCGCGAAAAAAUUUAACGAAGUUCAAAGGAUAAAAAAAAUAAACCAAGUGUUAACACUUAGCUAAAAUUCUAAGUGUUAAGCUUCUUUUGGCAUGCUUUGAGGGUUCUAACGACGAGGUAACUUUACGGGGUCUUACAGAUGCAUGCUCAGCAGAUAGAGGCAGACAAAUCUAAAGACAGAGAGAGAUCUAAUAAGAGAGCCAGAACAGGUAGUUAUAAUUUUUCUCUGCCAGGGUCUCAGGAUGGUAAACAUUCACAGCAUAGUCAGAAGUUUUAAGUCCCAUCUCCAUCCUCAUCUAGUGCACAUAUGCCAAAUUUUAAGGAUGUCAUUCAUGAUGGGAUGCCAGGCUCCAAGACCCAAAGUAGUGUGAGAAAUGAGCGUACCUAUCUACUUUGUAGAGAGUGUGGCAUAAAUCACCUAGGUAUACGCAGAGCUAACCGUCAGGUAUGUUACGGAUGUGGUAAGCUAGGACAUAGGAUGCAGGAGUGUAGAGUGCUAUCCUAGAGGGGUAGAGAUUUGCGUCAGUAGGGUGCUACUUCUGGUACCAAUAGUGGUCAGCGUCAGAACAGACUUUAUGCACUCCAAACUCGCCAUGAUCAGGAAAGUUUCCCUGAUAUUGAUUCGGGUACGUUAUGAGUCCUUCAUCUUUAUGAUAUGCUUCGUUAGAUCCUUUGAUCCCAUUUAAGCAUAAGUUUUUAGCAUGAUUUAGUUAGUAGAGUCAGAAAGUCAGUUUAGCAGUUAGAUAGUCAAAUUCGUGUAGUUUGUUUUCUCAUAUUUCCAUCUAAUCAUGCUAUCAGAAAUCUCAGACAUGUAACUACUCCAAGAUAGAAUAUGCUAGUAGUUGUGAGUAUAGCUCAGUUCAUGCAUCAUGCAUAUGAUUUAGCUUGGUGAUGCCUCGUGCAUCACCCUAGUGUCUCAGCAAAGUAAGAAUUCUUAAAGGGACAUAGUUUCCCAAUGGGGAGAUACCCAUAACUCCCCGAUGUUUUCAAUUUCUUAAACCCAUUCAAUUUAUGCUCAGAUUCUCGUUACAAGCUUUGCAUCAGGUAUCAUUGCAUAGUCAAUCAUGCUUUCAAGAGUUAGUUCAGUUAGAUAUUCAUGCAUUACAUAUGCAUGCUCAGUAGUAGAAGCCCAAUUUAUCAGGGUAUUCAGUCAUGCAUUCAUAAGAAUAACUCAGUCGUGUAUUCAAUGCAUCAGAUAUGCAUGUUCAGUAUGAGAACUCAGUAUAUCAGUAGUUUCAGUCAUAUAGUCAUGUUUCAGAUAUUAAAGUCCCUUACAUAAGUUCAGUUGAUCAAUAUUCUCCGCUUAGUCAGUCCCAUUUAAGGAUGAAUAUUCCCAAGCGGGAGAUAAUGUAAUACCCUACAAAUUUCCCUAGUCGUUAAAACUCUUUUAAGCAUGUCAAGGGAAGCUUAACACUAAAAAAAUUGGCUAAGUGUUGGAACUUUUUCAUUCCAUGAGCUUUAAAAUUUUGAUGAAUUAUUUUGUGACCUUUCUGACCUCCAAUUUUCUAUUUUCACGUUGCAUUGUGAUGGUGCAAGCUCAUAGUACAUCCCGGGUGAGUUAAAGAAUUUUUUGGAUAGCGUAAGGGCAUGUUUGGUUUCCCAAAAUAGUAGCUUGGGUCGAUAAGCCCACGCCGCCCAGAAAACUCUCCUGGACUAGGCAAGGCGUCGCCUAGAUUCUCCCCCAGGCUAGGCAAGGUGCCACCCUGGCAAUUGCCCGGGCCAAUUUCUGCACUUCAACUCCAUCCUCUAAAGGGAAAAAUGGUCAAAUUCCACCCCUAUAUAAGUUUAUUAACAUGAGAUUAAACCUUAUUUCACCCAAAUAUUGUUGUUUUCUCUUAAUUUCCCUCAAGAAGAAGACCUAGGGUUUCUAAUUCAAGACUCAAAUUAUCAAGGUUUCACCGUUAAUCUUCCAAGGAUCAAAUAGCAAGGUAUGUUAGAUGUUGAUUCUUAGGUCCCUUCCACCCAAGAAGUUCAAGAAUAUCUUUUUAAAAUUCAAGGAGUAUGUAUUUAUGAUUAUGAGUUUUCAUAAUUCAUGUGGAUUGAGGUUCAUGUUCAUGUUAUUAUCGAGUUAUAAUUCAUGUUUUGGAAUACAAUUUGCAAGCUUUAAUCUUGAUAUGAGUUGAAUUACAUUAUGUCCAUGUUAAAUCCCUAAAUUUGCAAGUUGGUUUAUGUAAUCAUGAUACUUAGGUGUAGUAUUUUUUGUAUGACCAAAGCAUGCUCCCCAUAUGAUUGAUAAAAUGCUUAUGUGAAGGAAGUAGUGUCAUUGUAACAUGUGAAGUAUGAAAUCCCCAAUAUUGUAUCAAUUUAUGCAUGCCAAGUGUUUGUUGAAAGGCCUUGGUGAAAGGAUUAUGAUAUGAUGAUAUGUUGCAUGCAUUCCUAUCCAUGUGCAUUCCUUAUUGAAUAAACUAUGAGAUAUUAGUAUAUAAUUACUAUACAUUUACAUGUUUAUGAGCUUCAAUGAUUGAUGAGAUGUCGUAUUAAUUGUGUUAUAGAUGAUAGCUUAUGGUCAUAUUAUGUAUGAGUUAUCCUGUUUUGUAUUAUUUAUAUUAUCGAGUCCUGGGGGUAUUUAUACUCGACAAAUUAGCUGAUUGUCUAGAGCCAGCAUCAGUUUCAUGAUACUCUCAGUCAAGCCUUGAUCAUUAGAAUUUAGUCAGUACAGGACUUAAGAAAAUUCAGUAAUCUCAGUAUUAGUUCAAUUUAGUCUCAGUAUCAGUCUAAUCCAACUUAGUAUUCAGUUCAAACUCAGUAGUAUUCAGUAUUCAGUAGUAUUCAGCCUUCAGAGUAUUCAGCAAUAUUCAAACAUUCAGUUUUGACUUCAGUAUAACUUAAAUAGUUAGUAGAAUUCAGAAGUAUUCUGUCAGACAACGGAACUCAGUAACUCAGUCCAGCUUAGUUAAUUGGUGUAAUCAGUAACAGAUUUAGCUCAGUCUAGUAUAGUCUAAGAAUUAGUUCAGUGUCUUUCAAAUAGGAGUAGGAACUAGCAUCGAGUGAUUUGCAGGGAUGACGGCUUCCCCGUCAGAGGGGCAGAGUCGUUAGUAGCAAUCCCUAUACUCCAGAACUGUAUAGCCAACGCAGGACCAAGAGUCACCCAUUAGAUUAAGGGGAUUCACUAUCUUCAAGGAGUUACCCAUUGCCUUAGGCUUGACUUUCUGUUCAGGGUCACCCCAUUAGAGAGGCUUGACCAUAGUAGUGUCUUUACCCAUGGCACGGUAUUGACACCCUUCCAGCUAAGGUUAUAGGUUAGACCCCACUAGUUUAGAUUCGGGGAAUGUCGGUUAAGUGAGAAAUCCCACAGUCAUAGUUUCAAUCAUAGUCUUUAGAGUAGAACUCAGAAAUUAGGACUGUCAAAUAUAGUUACUCAUCUUAGUAAAGAACUAAGAUGGUUCAAUAGAUGUAGAGAUCAUCCGCUAGAUAGGCCUGAUCUCAUAUAAAGCUUAUUAGUAUCAGUACUAACAGAUCCAGAUAUCACCCGUUAGAUAGGCCUGAUCUCAAACUCAAUCAAUCAUUAUCAUUGUUAGAAUAUUCAUAGAUCACCCACUAUAUAGGCUUGAUCUCAGAUGUAAUAAUUUCGUAUCUUUAUCAGUAGAUUCAGAGAUCAUCCACUAGAUAGGUUUGAUCUCAUAUUCAGUCAGUUAGUAUUAGUAAGCUCAGAACUCAAUUAUCAGUAGACUUAGUUAUUCAGUCUUCCAGUGUUAGUAAACUCAGAUGUCAGUAUUAGUAAACUCAAUUGUCAGAAGUUCAAGUAUUCACAAGUUAGAAUUUAGUGUUACUAUGAUUUCAGCUAUACCUUAUGCAUCAUGCAUAUAUCUUCAUUCAGUAUACUCAUGUUAUUUCAGUCAGUAUAGUUCAUGCAUAAGCCCUUGCAUUCAGCCUUACCUCAUAUAGCAUACUUGUACAUUCAAAGUACUGACAUAUACUUUUCUCCUGCGCUAUGGUGUCUUAUACCAUAGGUUCAGAAGCAUGAGCUCUAGAGCACCCUAAGUAGUCCAGACUCAGUCAGCAGCAAUAGAUGUAGUAGUGAGUCCUCAUCAUUCGAGGGUGCUUCUUAUUUCAAUAUUACAUUAGAUUCUAUUUAUUUUUAGUAGAUGGAGUUAGUUAGGGACAUGUCCAAUCAACUCCACAGUUCGGACAGUUUAGAGGCUUUUCAGAUAGAUGUAUCAGUAUUCAGUUUUCAGUAUUGAGUAUUUUAGAUGUUUUGAACCUUAUGGAAAGUUUUCAAAACUUUUUCGCGUUUAUUAUACUAUAUUAUGCAGUUCUUAGAUACAGGUACCAUUAAAGGGUUAGCUUGUGGUACUUCAGGAUUACAAGCACCGUGUCGUAUUCCAGUUUCAAAAAAUUGGGGAAUUACAACUGCAGUAGUAUUUUGUUUUCUCUAAGUAAUACUUGUUUCUAUAGCAUGUUAGUAUGAAAUGUCAUACACUUAAGAGAACCAAAAAGUAAGUCUUAUUGGAUUUUGAAUUACCAUAACAACAUUUUCAUUAACUAGUGUUACUUUUUUCCUUUUAUAAGUUCCUCAUUACCUUUUCUCUUUGUAUUUCUUGGCACCUUGAAUAUGAUAUGACCAUUGAUCCAUCGGCUUUCAAAACUCAUGAAGCCUUUGAUGACCUCAUCUUAAUCAAUCAUCCCCCGUUACACAGACUAAUUGGUUGCCAAACUUUAAUGCAUUUUUUUUACCCAAGCUGAAACUACUACCUUUAUCUGUGGUGGCUAAUUUUUUCAGCGGUGUAGGUUGUGUUGGUUUUCUUCAAGAAACGUGGAAUUUUGAUGUGUAGGAGGUUAUAGUUGAGAUUUAAGUCUUUGUUCCCAUUUAGAAUUGUUGGGUUUGAAAUUGAUAUGGCGUUGGGAAAUCAAUAGUUGCAAAUUAUGUUGACAAAGAAAAUAUAUUAAAAAACAUAUUAUUAGUAUUAAAAAUUCUUGGUCAACAGACCUACAUGCCGAAGAGAAAAUUUACCUCAAACAAGACUCUUGCAUUGUGUAUGCUACUUCUUUGUAUGGGUUAUUGGUGCUUUUUGUUGUUAUUGUUCCAUCCAUAUUUUCUUGAAGGAUAGGAUUUUUUUAUUGUGCUACUUAGGUGUUUUUUGUUGUUGUUAUGUUGUUAUGUUUGUGUGAAGUCUUUAGUAUAAGAACUGGGGUGAUCAAAGGUGGAAUUGUUGGAUGGGAAAGUAUUUUAGUGGAGGUGCUUCUUAGAUUUUAUGCGUUUGUUAUGUUGUAUAGAAAGGCUGCUAAGAUGACCUAUCCUGCUUUUAUAACUAUGUUUCAUCUAGGUGUCUAUGGGAUGUCUUUGUUGUAGUUUAGGAGAAAUAUGUGCUACUGGUGGGUAAAUUUGGUUUGGGGUUAGAAUGAUCUUUCUUUCAAUUAUUAUUGGAUAUUCAGUCUGGUAUAUAGUAGUGCGUUUGAUGAUAAAGUUACUUCGCUAACACAUCCUACUAACUAUAAUCUUUUCCUAUAUAACCUAGAAGUGAAUAAAUUAGUUUAGUGUAUCAUGUUGACUAAUCUUUUCAUCUACAACAUGGAUUCUUUCAUCUCAAUUUUCCAACCUUCAUGAACCACGAAAUAUGCAUUUCUCUAAAGUGUAGAACUAUUGAGUGUAAUGAACUAUUCCUUUUAGAUAUUCAUCUCAUCUUUAAGUUCAUCAACCAGUAAACAAUAACAAGUAGUAGCCUUCAAAGACAGAGUCCAGUUGCAAAUAUGGGAAACAUGGAUGGGUCUACAUGCCUGGUAUUUUGGGUAUACAUGCAAGACCAGAGCAUUCUUUUGUGUUUUUGUGUUUAGAAAAAAGAUUCUAAUUAGAUUUAUCUAUUACUCAUACUUCAUUGUGUUAUUCUGUGUUUAUCCUUUAUUAUUGUUGUAUCUGUGAAUUUCUGAUCAGUAAUUAUUUAUUCGUGUUCAUUUAUGUGUUUGUUUAGCAUUUAACAAUUCACAGUGUGGCAAGUACUUCUCUUCUUUAAAUUCGUUUUAUUGUGACGGGAAACAUCUUAGAUCUCAAAGACGAUCCAUAUAUUUUUUAUAUGAUAAAUGCUUUUUCUAUUUUACAGAUUCUCAGUCACAUUUGGAGGUACUUUUCAGUUGAAAGGUAAUAUUUUUAAUUAUUUACUUGUAAAUAUUACAAGUCUUAUACAUGUCAAACUUUCUACAGAAAAGGACCAACUUAUGAUAAGUAGUGAUAUUUUAAAAUAAAAAGAAUAUGGUUUGAUAGCUUUUUGGUUCAAUAACUUUUUGAUUUACUUAGACCAACAUGUUUACACCUAACUGCACCCUUAAUCCAAUAGUUUUUUCUUUUUGUUAUCAGUGAUAUAUGUACAUCUUUUUGAAAUAUGGUUGUCACUAUUCUUCUGUCUGCUUAACUGCUGCAAAUAUUGAUGUUGUAUGCUUCUGUUACCUACUUUUUGAAAAACAGCAGGUACAACAUAAAACUAUUACUACACUUGUCAAGCUAUACACCUAAAUCUUUAAGUCUACACUACUUUAUCUUACAGUUUAACUGAUGUUCCGCAUGUACUUUAUGUCAAGUGCUGACUGUACUACAAACAAGACAAAGAAGUCAAAGCACAACACUAUGUAAAUAGCAUCAAAUGUAAAUAGUUAAUGUUUAGCAAAUAUUUAGUAUGGCAUGUAAAUACCUAAUGCAAAUAAUACAACUACAACUGAUAUAAAUACUUUUCAACCAUAUAUAUAAUAGCUAUAUCUAUCGCAUACUCGCAAUAUCUAUCAAUGUUGGGCCGUUGCUCCACGGGCCGUCUCUACCGAGUAAGUAAUACAAAAGAUCAUGUAUAGGAUCAUGAUCCAAUAUUAGGUAUAAUCUCAAUAUGAGAUUCUAAGUAGAUAGGAUAUGUAUGCAAACUUUUUCCCAAUAUUUGUUGGUAAAAAGGUUGAUUGUAAUAGAUCCUUCGACCAAAAGAAAUAAGAUUGUCUAUAUAUUUAAAGCCACAUACUUAUAAUCUUAUUAUGAAACCAUUAUUUUUAGAAUUUAUGUUUUGUGCACCAUUGUGUAUAAAUAUUCUACACUAUCAGGUAAACUUGACUUGCUGUUGCAGGUUACCUAAUUUUUUCUUUUUAAAUAUUUAUGUAAAUAACUGAGUAACCUACAAUAGCAGGUCAAGUUAACAGAUAGUGUAGAAUAUUUAGUGCGCUGACGGUGCAUAGAACUUAAACCCUUAUUUCUAUAUCAUCUAUAUUUAGUUUCCUUUUGAAAUUUGUGUUUUUUGGUCAUAUUUUUAAGAAAAUUUUUAGGGUUUGUUUGGUACACCAAAUUAGAUAAGUAGGGAUAUUUUAGAAAAUUAUACUAUAUCAUUUUUCACAUGAGACUAAUUCCAUCAUUUUAGUAUAAAUAGUUGGAUUAGAUAGUUACGAACUAAUUUAUACCUCAUACCAAACAUGAAAUAAAGUGAAAUUCAAAAUUUGUUUCGAAAUUAUUUUUCCUAUUUGGUGUUCCAAAUAACCCCUUAUUAUGCUCAUACAUGUUGGUCAGUGUGUGAUGCUACUACUUUUAAAUAAAGUAGAAUCCGUCAAAAUAAGUGUUACCUUUAGCAAAAAUCAUGUUCAUUAAGAAAUUAAUAAAUACAAUUUGCUGUUUAUUAGACUAUCUCUAUUUAACAAAUGUCUCUAGAAAUCGAACACUAUUAAGAAGACAGAUUAUAAAAGUAAGGUAUAGUUGGAAAAACAUAUAAUUUUUAUCUUAAAUUUUUAAGGUCAUAAUUAUUUUGGGAAAAUUGUUUCCGCUAAAGUGAAACUAAUUUUGAGACGAAAGGAAUAGUAAAAAAGCAUUUUAAAAUGUUCAUUUUCUAGAUUGGAUUAAACAACAUAAACAAAUUAAGAACGACUCAAUACGUAUGAUUGAACUGUUUGUGUUGUAGACACCUGAUUUUGUCCCUCCUAAAAAUCCAUUUUAUUCAUUUUUAGCUCACCUUACCCCGUACCCUCACCCAUUUUACACUUUUUCCACAAGAAAAUAAAUACAACAAAUCCUAACAAAUUAAAUCUCUAAUCCCUAAUAUUCCCUCAUUCUAACUAAUUUUUACACCUCACCAUACCCCCACCCCCACCCCACAUGGCCCUCUUUUUCUUCACGUCUUAAUUCUCUUUUAACAGAAUAACGCACAAGAUUCUUCCAUUUUUGGAUUUAUACACGCGGUCCCCACAGCAAUACAUAUACACUCACAAUUUUCCAUUAUAAAAAGAUAUACACACUGGUUCUUCUUCAACAAAUUUAUCCAGACAGAAACAAUACAUACACCUCACCAAAACACAAUACAGACGCCUUGCUCAUGGUAUACACAACACACCCUGAGUAAACACACACCACACUCUCAAUAACACACACCACAGAAAAGGACCCUCACCAUUAAAUUCAACAUAUACAUGGACGGCACUAACAACAAAAGGGGAAACAAAAAUUCGAUUGUCGAUCGAGUGUUCCGACAAAUUUUUCACUAAAAUCUAUUAUUUCUUGUCAAAUUUAGGAGUUGUCGGCCUGCAAUCCAUCCCUCACCGCCAGAAAUAGGAUGAAAAGAGUUUUUUCGUAAGAUAAAGGAUAAAACCAGCAGCCUCUCACCAUCGAUCCUAUUUCGAUAACCAUUUAUUUGCCGAAAAAUGGUAAAAAUAGACAGGGAGAUCCAAUUCCGUCCACCAUUGAUAAAACUCAAUUGGAAUAACACUGAUGCCUAUCAGAAAAAGCAAAAACCCAAUCCUCCUAUUCUAGUUCGUUGGUGAAGCAUGAUAAUGCUCAACUUACACUUCAAUUUAGUGCAAGGAGGUCAUCGUCGACAUAUUUACCCAACUUUAGAGUCAGGGUCGAAUCCACAGGGAACAAUGUGAGUGGCGAUUAAACUAGUUUAAAACUAAAGAUACAAGUUAAAUUCAAAUAACAGGAAUGAAAAGACAAAAUGGGGGUUUUUAAUUUAGCAAAUAAUUGUUGGUCAGUUUAGUUUCAGUGUUCAUAAUCAAGAGUUUAUGAAAAACCAGAAUUGUGUUCACUAGGAAUUUUAGUACUUGACAAAUGUUACUAGUGGUUCAAGGUUCUCACGGUAGGUAGGACAACAAGUUAUCUUUAUCGAAGUUAUUCUUAAAUGUCUUUCGACCUACUUAAGCAUUUCAUUACCUAAUCCUCUCAGACUUAGGGAAUUAUUAUUCACUGCCCACAUUUUACCUCAGGUUAACCAACCUUGUUACAACACUGAUUAUUAAAUGGAGUGUUUUCAAGUCCCUGUUGAUAAUUCACUUUCCACUAUAUUGGAUUUCUUUCUCAAGCAAAUCAAAGCAGGUGUUAUCUAUCGUUUGCAACCAACAAAUAAUAAUUAAAACAUCAGAAUUAUCAAGAAGUCCUACCACCUUUUGAAUCUUGAACACUUAGCACCUUAUCAAGACCUAACCCUAGAUCCCACAAUUCAGGUUAAAGGAAUUUAGUUGCUCAUGAUGUAAAAAUUAAAGCAACUAAAUGAAUUCAUACUUUGAAAGAUAAACUUACCAUAAGAUGAAUAAAAACUAGAGAUUCUCAGAUUAAAUCACAAAGGAAAUCCUAAAAUAAUGAAUAUAAUCUCUUCAAAGUAAUUGCUUUUUCAAGCCAAGAAAAUUAGAGAGAAAAUAUCAAAGUAUAUUGCUCAAAACUCAAGGUUCGGACACCUCAAGAAAAUCCUAAAUAAGGUUUUAAAUAGUUCACCUUAAAUAAGGAAACAAAAUAAUAAAAUUCAGAAAUCCCUCGGAUUAGGUGAUAACAUUUGUGAUAGCCUAUCAGGAGGCUGACAACUUAUCACAAAAGUUAUUAGCUUCCUUUAUUCUUUUGACACUUGUUGCUUAACGCUGACGACAAUCUUGAUGACUUAUCAGCUCUUUGACGACUUAUCAUAAAAUGUUGUCAAGUAUCUGCUUCAGUUCUCAUGUGCUUUCUUAGUCUGACGGCAUUCUUGACGGCUUAUCAGCUCCUUGAUGACCUAUCACAAAAUGUCAUCACAGCUUUCAACUUAGGACAUUUCUCUGUCUACUACUAACGAUGAAGCUGAUAACUUAUCACAGGGCUGACGACUUAUCACAAAUGUCGUCAGCCACACUUUGCCUCUAUUUCCUUGUGAUUUCAAGUCCAUCACUUCCAUUCUUGUUAGUUCUCUAUCAUGUCAGCUUCUACUGCAAAACCAAACACAAAACAAUCAAAAACAACAAAAAUUGCUUAAGACUUUACAAUUAUUCUCAGUUAAAAGCCUCAAAUAUGUUAGCAUCUGCUCACACAUCAACACCCUCAACUUAAAAUAAUUGUUUGUCCUCAAGAAACUAAAACACAACAUUACGAUGCUUACCAAGAGACAAAUAAGAUACCUAUGACAGUUGAUCAUCAAUUUUAGUUCAAAACACUUUACCCUCUCCAUUUUCAAUCACUUUAAACCCAGCUGUGUAUAUCCAUGAAGAUCAAUAAUGUGACAGAAAGGAAUCAAGAUAUGGCAUCAACUUAGCAACAAUAAUCAUGCCUAUAUACAAAUUACACUACCAAAACAAGUAGGCAACUAGAAAUGCAACCGAUGUUCCCUUACAACAAAGAAGUCCCUCCUCACUCAUAUAUGAAAUCAAGCAUGUAAAUGCAGGGACGAUCAAGAGACACUCGCUCUCAAAAAGAAGUUCCAGUCAAUGUAUGCCAAAUACCAUAAGCUUGUCCUUAUUUUCAUUACCGAAGUUUUCAGACAGUUAAGUUAGGAUCAUUGUAAGACUUUUCUUCAGUUUGUAAUGUAGGCUUGGGGCUGGUAUGAUAUGCAAGGAUAUUUAAAGUAACUAAGCCUCCUUGGCACUACACUAUUUUUUUUUAAGGGGGGGGUCUCACUUAUCAACCUUUACCUUAUUUCUCCCUUUCUUGAUUAAGCAAAUUCAGGACAGGUGUGGUCAUUUAAUCAAUCAUUUUCUCUUUUUCACAACUUUUCUUUUCUUGUUCUUUUUAUACCAGACCCAUAAAGUGCAUAAUAGCCAAGGAGGAUCGGGCCAAAAUAGAUUCAUUGUGAUACAAAUAGGAAGGUGAUAGGUAUAACAAAAAGAAUAGGCAUUCAGGCUCAAAAUCAGGAUCAAGGGAUAUUAUCCACACAUGGAAGGUCAUUUAGGCUAAAAGUGGACUAAUAUCAACAACGGCCUAUGAUCCUUUCCAAACCGCUAUCCUACAACAAAGGCAAGACCAACCGAGCAAGUUCUGGAUUUAACAUACAACGAGAACUAGGUAGUAUCUCACACACACAUGUCACAAAGGUACAUCACAAGCUACUACCAAUUUGGUUCAUGCAAUUGUUAGCAAUGAUUAUCAUGUCCCUAGUACUAAUGCCAUAAAAAGAUUCACAAUAGUCACAUAUAGAUGCACAUCACACAUUUACCAGCUAGACAAUUGGAGAGGUAUUUAUCAUUCCAAGAAAAAUCAACAAAAAUAUGUCAACUAUCCUAGAUACUUAUUCUUCCCCCAAUUAACCACAACACAUUACAAAUUAAACACGAUACGCCUAAACAUGCCGGCUCUACUUAGAACAAGACUCUGGGAAAAAGAGGCACGGCGACAAAACCCCAGGAGGACAUAAACACCCACAAGUAGCCUCACCCUCAACAUAAUAUCAUGCAUUAUCCCCAACGCGUCAAACUAAAACAAGAGAGUUAAAAACAUAACUGUGGCACCAUAGGUGCAAAGAUUUGAUGUCAAUCACAUAAUAUGAAUACAAACAACAAAAUACCUUGGGUUGCCUCCCAAGAAGCGCCUAAUUUAGUGUCGUGGCACAACCCUACUUAGUUUUUUCCUCCACCUUAAGGAUAUCAAUUUCACCCCUAACUUAGAGUCCAUCUUCUUUCCUCGAUCAUAGGGUGGUGGUACAAAGAUUAAGAAGCCGAGUAAUGGAUAAUGCAUGGUAAACAACUCGAUCUUAAAGUGAGGUGUGUUUUUAUGUUGCUUGUCUAAUUUAAAAUCAAGAAUAUAGGAUUCUUGUUCUUCAUCUUCACACUCUUCUACUAUUUUAAAUGAUUCCACAGACAAGAUAUCAUCUAACCAUAAUGUAGAAAAGUGCUUUGAAUGAGGCCCAAUCAAUCCUACUUUAAAAUUUACACUAUCUACUACACACUCACUUUUAUUCACCUUCUCAAUGUCAGUCUCAAGAUCACGAUGACAAUUGAGUGGCUGUGAUUCUUGAGUUUUCUCCUCAAAUUGGUUAAUAUCCUCCUCAUAUUCUUCUUAAUUAGCUAUUGUAAACAUGGUGGGAGUGGUAACUCCUUUAGCUCUACCCACAGCUAUUCUUGAUUCUCUAAAAUUUGUUUUAUCAAUUUGUCCGCUUGAAUCGUGACAGCACACUUAUCUUUAGUAUGAUCACUUUGACCACAAGCCAAACACCAAGUUAUAGUAAGUAGGACAGUAUCCACAUUAUAUUGUGAAGCUCCAGCCCAUGCACUUCCAAGUAAAUUUGGACAGUAAACCUAAAAAUAUUGUCCCCCACAGUAAUAACAAGAAUCGUCACAAGAAUCAUAAUCACUCAAAAAACCAUCUAUCCAAGCUGACAUCUCAAGAAAGGUGGGAUAAAAAUAAAAAUAAAAGAAAAUAAAAAAAAUAUAAACUAAAAAAAUAUUUACAAGUUUGAAUGCAAGCAAGUUCGAUUAAUUAUCUUUUUUGUUGCUAUUUCGACGUUUUCAGGAUGGGAUGGGACUGGCAGCUUCACCGGAGUCGAAGUAAACUAUCAAUUUGGCCAACUUGCUGGCUGAACCAAAGUUUUCAGGUAGGAUUUCACUGGAGAACACCUUUUCCAAUUCACCCCUUGUUUCUCUCUCUCUCUCCCUCUCUAAUAACCAGGGUGCGUAUGAAUUUCCAGUCAACUGUGCGUGUGGGAUUCUCUUCUUUUCAGUGACUAUCUUGAGUGUGUAUUGUGAAUAGAUGGGAAUCGGGUGCUUGUGGAGAAAAUGGUGAUGUGUGCUUAUUGUGUUUGGUGUGUUCUGUGAGUAGUCAUGAAGGAUAUAAGAUUAUUUUGGUGAGGUUUUUCCACCUCUGGUGCCUAUUACGUAUUGCUAUGUAUAGAGGUCCUUUUUUGGAUCCUUUCCAGGAAGGUUCCUACUGGGGCCCCCGUGGAAUUGUCCUUUUUUUUCUUUUUUUUUUCAUAGUGGGGUGAAUAUGCUCCUUUUCUUUGUUGAAAAAAAAUGUGAAAGGGUCACGUGGGUGGUGUAAAAGUGUAGGGUGUAGGUUAGGUGGGUAGGGUGAGUUAGUUAGGAUAAAAUUUGUUAGGAUGAUUAAAACAAGAUAAAAUUUGUUAGGGAGUUUGUUAUUUUUGUUCUUUUAUGGGAAAUUAUGGAAUGGAGUUGGGUGUGUGGUAAGAUUAGCUAAAAUGAAUAAAAUUAGACUUCGGAAGGGACAAAAUUAGGUGUCUACAGUAUGUCCCCUUUGAAUGUAAAUAUAGAGUGUUUUCAUACAAAGAAGUAGACAAUGAGACAGAAUUUUGUCCCGAUCAUUAUUCAAACGAAGAAAUAGAAGGAAGAAGGACAACCACAUCUUGACUUAGUACACUCCUACCUACCCAAAUUAUGAGGGAAUCAAGUGACGGGUAUCUCAAAGGAUUGGAAAGAGAAGGACUAUACCAAAUUGGAGAGUAGAGUGAGGUUCAAUCGAGGUUCCGGUCCGCAUCUCUAUCAUUACAACAAAACAAAAAUUACAAGUUAAAACAUAAAUGAAAUUAGAAAAUCCUAUCUAUGCAACCCUUUUUUGGUCUCUUGGCUUUGAGUUUCAUCACCCUAUUCUUUAGGCGGGCUCCUGACUUACAAUUUCUUCAACUUGUUGCUUGACUUUCAAUUUCCUCACCCUGUUCUUUAGGUGGGCUCCUGACUUGCUAUUUUUUAAUUUGUUAACUUUCAAUUUCUUCACCUUGUAGCUUGACUUUUAACUUCUUCACCUUGUUGCUUGACUUUUCAUUUAUUUGCCCUGUGCUUCGGGCAGGCUCCUGACUUGCUAUUUUUUUACUUUUGAUUUCUUCACCUUGUUGCUUGGCUUUCAACUUCCUCACUCUGUUCUUCAGCCGGGCUCCUGACUUUCAAUAUUCAUCACCCUGUUCUUCAGGUGGGCUCCUGACUUACAAUUCCAUCACUCUGUUCUUCAGGAGGGCUCCUGAAAUCAAAAUCAAAACUAGAACAAAAAUAUAUCAAACAAAUAUUAUAAUAAAGAAAGAUUUCAUUUUAUGAAAGUAAUGUCCCAUUUUCCAGGAGGGUCCUGAACAGAAAGUAAAAUCCCAUUUUCCAGGAGGGUCCUGAACAGAAAGUAAAAUCCCAUUUUUCAGGGGGUCCUGAACAGAAAGUAAAUUCCCAUUUUUCAGGAGGGUCCUAAGCAGAAAGUAAAUUUUCAUUUUCCAGGAGGGUCAUGAACAUAAAGUAAAUUCCCAUUUUUCAAGAGGGUCCUGAACAGAAAGUAAAAUCCUAUUUUUUAGGAGGGUCUUGAACAUAAAGUAAAAUCCCAUUUUCCAGGAGGGUCCUGAAAAAAAAAGUAAAUUCUCAUUUUUUAGGAGGGUCCUGAACAUAAAGUAAAUUCCACGGAUGUUCUUUUCCAAUGAUAGCUGAAUUAAGUGAAGUGAUUUUGCCCCUGUUUCAACAAAUAAAAUUUGUCAGUUAAAAACUUAGUGGUAGCUUGCGGCACAUGGCUAUCCCAACACCUGCUCUAAUGUUCUUUCCCUUUAUUUUGUUUCAGAUUGCUGGCACUUGCCUCUGCUUUUUCGUGUCAUUGACCCAAACGCAGAUUAUUAAGAGUGACUCCAAAAUAAACACAGUAUCUCUGCUUUGUCAUGCUUCUCAGAUAAACCCUUUAAACCUUGGUAUUUUCAUGAGUUCCCAAGCUUGUCUAUUGACAAAACUUUCUGCAUGCCUUAUUCGGGUCACAAUCAUGUCUCUUUCAUAUGCUAACUUUGUCUUGCUUUGUGCAAUUGAAGAAGUUGGUAACUAGUUUUGAAAUCUUUUCUCACUUAUUUUGUCAUGGACUUGACUCAAAGACACAAGAAAAAUGACAAUGAUUUUUUUUAUUUGGAUAACUAAAUUUUUUUUAUUUGGAUAACUAACUCAAGAAAAUAAAAAUAAAGAUAAAGAGAAGAAAGAAGAGACAAUGAAUGUCCCCAUUUGAAACAAAGAAAUGUAAGAUUUAUCUAAAAUGACAAUCAACUCUAAUGAUUAUGCCAUGCAUUUUGGAUUAAGCUGCCUGAUCUUUCCAUCCAAACUUUCUACCAAAUGUUGUUGAGUUAAUGACCCUAAAAGUGAGUUGCUUUCUUAGGUCAAUUACAUUCGGAGACCUCAUUCGGAUAGUGGUGCCUUGAAGGGUUUUCACCAACAAGCCUCUCUCAUUUUUUAUUAUCACCUCACCAUUGCCUUAUGGUAUCCAAGAGGGUUUUUCACCAAUUAGAUUCUCUUAUUUUCAUUUCUCUCAACUCACAGUCGUCUUAUGGUGCCUGUAAGGGUUUUCACCAAUAAGAGUCUCAUUUUUAUCUCCCUCAACUUACCAUCGCCUUAUGGUGCCCAUGAGGAUUUUCACCAAUAAGACUCUCCUUUUUAUUUCUCUCUUGAUUUUUUAUGCUAAGUAAGACAAGUAGUUUCUAAAUGCAUCAUCACAUCCAUUGAAUGCUUGGCCUUAACAUUCUCAAAGAUUGAUCUGAAGGUCUUUCUUUGGUUGAAGCUUGUCUUUUAGAUAAGGUAAUAAAGAAAGGAUUACAUGGGGCCCAAAUGAUACUUAAAGUAUGUUAGGACUUACAACUUUUGGAAUUAACUCAAAUAAUGAGGAUUAACUCAUGCCCCAGUUUCUUUUGACUGAGAAAUUCUAAAUUGUUUAUUUGGUUAGACCGAACCAAGAGUAGGGAAACCUACGUAUCUCACCCCCGAGAGAGGAGAAUCAGGUCACGCGUAGUUCUGGCAACUUGUUUUGCUUGAUUCUAAUUUCUUUUUUCUUUUGAAUUUUUUUUUUUGUGAUUUUUUUGACUCUAAUUUCCUUGACACUCUUUUCUUCCUUCUUGGACAUAUUUUUCUCUCUUUUUUUUUCUUUGAAAAUUUUUUACUCUAUUCUCUUGCUCGAUACUUUUAUUUUGAGCUUUGCUAGCUUUAUCUUGAUUCCAAAAGAGGGGUAUAAAAGAAAAUAACACUAAGGAUCAAAUGAGGUAAACAAAGGAUAACACAAUGAGUUUGGAUAGCAGAAUAAAAUACCUUCAUCAUAUCAAUCCUUGAAAAUAUUAGUACAUAGCAUACAAUGUGAAAGUGCACGAUCAACAUCAUUUAUGACAUAUUUUACAACACUAACUUGCCCCGAACAUGUGUGUCACCUCUUUUUCUAUACUUUUCAAACAUUCAACUCCACCUUUGUUAUAUAUCCAUCACAUUGAAUGACUCAUGCUUUCGUGGAGUUGAUUUUCUUUCUAUUCCUCUUGAUAGGAUCACGCAGACACAGUUUGACCUAAUUAAGACAUGUUUUUCAAUUGAUGACCAAGUUAUUCUUGUGAUUCUAAAAAUAAUUGCAAUAAUUUUCAAAGAAGGUUUGAACUUGUCACCAAAUGUCUCAGCACUCUACCUAUUUUCUCAGAUUCUCUCUUUUCUAACUUUAACCCUCUGAUUCAAUGUUCAUACUUAAACUAGAUUUUAAGAUCUGACUGAAAAUUCCGCAGGCAUGUCAUAUCACUAGAAUCAACAUAAAAUGUACUAUAUAAAGAAAACAAACAAACAACACAUAUUUGAAACAUAAAAGUAAAGGGACACUUCAUUUAGUAAAAAUAAAAGAUAAAGGGGUUUAAACAUAAACAAAAAAGGGACAAAACAAGAUAGAUCCUGAACUACAACCCUGAAAUACUUUAGAAAAUAGAAAAAAAAACAAAACAAACUACCACACCUUUUCCCAGUAGGGAGAGAGGUGACUUCUCAAUUGCUCAGCCUGACAACUUAGCCACUAGUUUGUAUAUCAACAUGACUAGAGUUUCCCUCAGUGUCAAUGUUCUGCACUAUAAUCGAUCCAUCUUGAAUCAUAUUUUCAAUUUCUCUUUUCAAAUCUCGAUAAUAUUCAAUACUAUGACCCUGAGCAUCAGAAUGAUAUGCAUAUUGUACAUUAGGGUCAAAAUUUUGUGAACGCUGAUUAAGAGUGCACCCAAAGAAAGAAGUGAUCAUACCCCAUUGUACCAAUCUCUGAGAUGACUCUGAGGAGUUGGUGUGUUCCACUGUGGGUAAUAUGGGGGUUGAAUAUGUGGCUGUGCAUUAUAUACUGAAUAUGGAGGGGGAGGAGUAGAGUAUAAUGGAUUUUGGGAGUGAUUAUGUGAAUCUUGGGCAUGAACUUGGGUUUGUACCUAAGAGUGAUGACGAUAGGGUCUUCUUAACCAUGCCCGCUGUCCAACUACAAUAGAAGAUGCAUCUUUCUCAUUCUUUGUCUCCCCAAUAAUUCCUGAACCCUUUUGAAUUGCUUGAGUUGUCAUUUUCAAUGUUCCAAAACUCAUAACGUGACCAGUCUUAAUUCCCUCUUCUAUUAUCUCCCCCAUUUUAAGGACCUCAAUAAAUGAUUUGCCUAAUACUGGUAACAAGUGUUGAUAAUAUGUUUCAUCCUGCGCUUGAAUAAACACCUCCACUAUUUUUUCUUUCAUUGGCGAUUUUCCUCUAGCAUCUUAUUCGCGCCAUUUGAUCGCAAAAUCCCUGAAACUCUUAGUAUUCUUUUUUAUACUAGUUAGGGAUUUUUCGUCAGGGAUCAACUCCACAUUGUAUUGAAAUUGUUGCACAAAUUCAUUAGCUAGGUCAUCCCAGCUAAUCCACUUGUCAAUGUCUUGGUUAAAAAACUAUUUCGAAGCUAGGCCUGAAAGACUCUCCCCGAAAUAAGCCAUGAGUAGUUCUUCCUUCCCUACAACGCCUCCUAAUUGGUUACAAUAGCACCUCAAAUAUGCCACUGGGUCCCCAUGUCCAUCAUAUUUCUCAAACUUUGGUAUUUUAAAGCCAGGGAGAAGGUUGACACCUGGAAACAUGCAUAAGUCUUUAUAUGAGAUACUUUUGUAACCCCCAAGUCCUUGCAAGUUCUUCAUAGAUAGUUCUAAACUUCUCAAUUUUCUGAUCAUUUUCUCUUGUUCUUCUGUCAUAACAAGCUUCUCAGUGUUAGGAGGAAAUUCAAGCAGGUGAGUGUCAACGUAAAGAUCAAUCAACUUGAAUGUAGGCUUAGAAGUGUAACGCUGAUCACCGGUAAUAUUUAAUACAGGCUCUCUUGUAGAGUAGGGAGGAACAAAUUGUGGAUGAACAUCAAAAGUAGAAGCUUCAGAUAGGGGUGGCGCUGGAAAAGAAUGAACAACAGGUGGAGCCAAGUAUGUGGUAGUCUUAGAUUUGGGAGUGAGGAAAUGAACAUUGGAUGUGGUUGGAUAUUGUUGCCCCAGAGUCGAUCCUGAUACAUGUUGUGGCAUAUCAACAAAAAUAGAAAAUUGUGCAUGUGACACAGAAGGCAAGUUAGAAAGAUAUUCCAGAUUAUCAGUGGAAACUGGGGAAGUCGGCAACCUAUUAUCCCAAGCUCGAUGCAUUUCUAUCAUUUGCUGCCUUAAUUUUUGAAUUUCUUCAUUGGCUCUUAAAUUCUCAUUUCCCGAACUCCCUAUCUGAUUAGUGACAACAAAAUCGGUAUCCUUGUUGGCCAUAAAUUUCUCUAUGACUUGGUACACUAUGAAGGACUAGCCCAAAGGCCACAAACCAACCACCUUAACUAACUGAACAAGAGAUAGCAAAUGUGUUAGAGUUCAACCAUUUUUCAAAACUUUUUCUGAUUUUCUUUUGAAAAGAUCACCGAACCCAAGAAGGGCGACUACGUAUCUCACUCCAGAGAGAAGAGAAUUAGGUGUGCGUAGUUCGUGAAGUUUUGCCAAAAUGGCCAACCAAGCUCUUUUUCCUUUCUUUUCUUCUUUUUCUUGAAACUUUAAAAAGAAAAGGAAAUAACAAAUUGUCAAAAGAAUUGACAAAAAUCUUUCUGCAUUUUUCUCGUUUAAAAUUCCUAUACAAAAUGAAACCUAUGAUUACCAAAGAAAAAUCUUUUUGUGUUUUCAAUUUUGAAUUUCAUAUGAAAAUGAAACUUGAACCUAUUAAAGAAAAAUCUUUUUGUAAUUUUCUUUUAAAAAUGUAUAUGAAAGACUUACUCUAAAUAAAGAGUGAAGAAAAUUUUUUUGGAUUUUUUUGAAAUAAGAUCCCCGAACCCACAAUAGGCUGCCUAUAUAUCUCACUCCCGAGAGAGGAGAAUCAGGGGUGCAUAAUUCGUCCAGAUUGGACAAUUAAGGAUUAGGUAACAAACUAAAUCUUAACUUGAGUGACACGAUUACAGAUAGACGAUGAAAGUAAAAUAUUUUUUUGAUUUUUUAAUUUGACACUUCAUACAAAAAUGACACCAACAACUAUGAAAGAAAAAUCUUUUUUUUUAAUAUUUUUGAUAUGAAAUAUACAAAAAUUCUACCAUUUUUCAUUUUCUUUUAUAAAAAAUACUAAAAAAUCUUUUUUGAAAAUUUCGAAUUAUGAAUGCAUGCUAAAGGAGACAAAGCGAGAAAUCUUUUUAAUGUUUUGGUUUUUGAACAAAUGAGUGCUGAAAAUAAAGAAAUCUUUUUGAAUUUUUGAAUUGUGAAAAACAAAAGUCAUAAAGAACACUAAAAGCUAUGUAACUCUUUUUUUUCAAAUGGUUUCUUGUCUACAUACUUUACUUUUAACACAUGUUUUUCCCAAAUCAGUCUAUUAAAUGACCAUGUUACACUCAAAGAUGCAACAUUUAGCACGUAGGGAUGCUUUAGAGGUGAGUCUCCUACAAAGAGCCAAGUGGGCCCCGCUAGGUCUUUAAUAUGAUGCACAUAAGCAUGAACCAAAGGCUGACCUACAUUGGGGUUCACUAACAAGGCUGUUCGGGGGAGCGUAUGGUCGAUAGUGACUGUUUUGCUUUCCACCUACUCCAUAACACCGACGGAUCCCCCCUAAAAUAAGGGUGACUCAACUAUAGGUCAUGUACAACACGUGUACUGUGGACUUAUUGCAGAAAGAAUGACUUAGGUUAUGCACAUGAUGUCGGAUAUAAAGCGGUAACACAUAAGAUAAAAACUGUAAACAAAGAGCACAUAGGCACUCAACAGUAAUAAUACAAUAAUACAAAAUAACACAAAUAAAAUGUCCAUACACCUAUAGUGAAAAACUAAGCCGAUACAACUUCAAAAUAAGCUCGAAUUCUAAAAUAGUCCCCAGCAGAGUCAUCAGAGCUAUCCUAUUCUAAACUAAUCCUAGACUAAUGCUCUAUCCGACGCUUUGGGCCUUCAUCACAAACGUUCUCCAGGUAAAAAAUACUUUGUGUCAUUCCCCAGUGAAUAAACACAAAUAUCUCGGGGCAUUACCCGGCCAAAUGAUACUUUGAUCCAAAAAAACCAUAAAAACAAGUCAUUCAACACACAAUUUUCAACAUUCAAAUUCGACAAGUUCUAAAUUUGCCUACCCGACCCUACUAUUUGCCUAUUUAUUUCAAUAUGCCAUAAUUCUAUCACGUUCCAAUGACAUUCAUGCUUAUUUAAACGAAACAAUAGUAAACCAAAAGAAAUCUAAAUUCACAUUUUUAUCAAUUUCUCAAUCCCACCCCCAAAUUCAUUCUCAACCCUAAUUUUGGUAUCCAAUUACCAAUUUCAAUUAUUCAACCAGAUAUUAUUUUCAUCCAAUUUGUGCCAUUCAAAGUCAAUCAUUCAAUACAACAUAUAUCAAGCAACAAAUCACCCGAUAGAACAAACACAUCAAAACACCUUCAUAAUCAUAUAAAAAUAAAAUAAUAGAGAUGAAGAGUGGACCUCAAAAGCUUUUUUGAUUCAAAUAUUAUUUGGAUGAAAAGAAUAAAUUUGUAUUCCAAAUCCGCGAAUUAAACCUCAACCAAAGAGCAGAACCUCAACAACACCAAACUCGACCCCAAAUCUCGCAACUCUAGACGUUGACAAGCAAAAUUCAAUCGGCAAAGACCGAGAUGAAGAGAUGGGAUUUUGAUCCUAAAAAUAAAAGAAACAGGGGGCUAGGCUCGAUUAAUUGGCUAUGUUGUUGCUAUUUUGACAUUUUCGGAUGGGAUGGGACUGGCAGCUUCACGAAAGUCGAAGUAAACUAUCAAUUUGGCCAACUUGCUAGCUGAACUGAAGUUUUCAGGCAGAAUUUCACUAGAGAACAUCUUUUCUGAUUCACCCCUUGUUUCUCUCUCUUUCCCCCUCUCUAAUAACUAGUGUGCAUAUGAAUUUCAAUCAACUAUGUGUGGGAUUCUCUUCUUUUCAGUGAGUGUCUUCAAUGUGUAUUGUGAAUAGAUGGGAAUCGGGUGCUUAUGAAGAAAAAAGUGGUUUGUGCUUAUUGUGUUUGGUGUAUUCUGUGAGUAGUUAUGAAGGAUAGAAGAUUAUUUUGGUGAGGUUUUUCCACCUCUGGUUCGUAUUACGUAUUGCUAUAUAUAGAGGUCCCUUUUUGGAUCCUUUCCAGGAAGGUUCCUAGUGGGGGCCUUGUGGAAUUGUCCCUUUUUUUACCUUUUUUUUAUCAUAGUGUGGUGAAUAUGCUCUCUUUCUUUGUUGAAAAAAAAUGUGAAGGGGUUAAUGGAGUAAGAUGUAGGGUAUGUGGGGUAGAGUAAGUUAGUUAGGAUAAAAUUUGUUAGGAUGAUUAAAACAAGAUAAAAUUUGUUAGGGAGUUUGUUAUUUUUGUUUUUUUAUGGGAAAUUAUGGAAUGGAGUUGGAGUGCGUGGUAAGAUUAGUAAAAUGAAUAAAAUUUGACUUCAGAAGGAACAAAAUUAGGUGUCUACAAAUAAUACUAUGUGUUGGGGAUUUCAUGAAGCACAUAGUUAUCAUAAUUUUGUACAUGGAUAGGAAUGCAUAUAAUCAUGUCAUAAGUUCAUACUAUAAUAUCAUGAGCAUUCCAAAAAACAUCUACAAUGCACAAUAAUCAGACGGUAAUUGGGAUUCAUACUUGAACUGAAUGUUGGUUCUGACAACUAAGGUUUAGACUGGUAUGAAGUACUGAAUUUUGAUAGCUAAGUAACUGAUAAUUGAAAGCCAUGGUCUUGUAGGACUUUGAGUCCUUUACUGAAUAUCGAUUACUGAACUAAUGUUGUAACUUAGGCUUGAGGAAUGAAACAUCGACACCACGGAUUCAUCGAGGGAUCUAUGCUGAAGGUUUUGUGACAUGAUCUGAGUUUUGUUGAUCACUAAGAGUGGAUGAUGAGCUACGUAAGCUGGGUAAUCUAUACAACAUGACAUAAGUGUAUGAGUCAUGAGCUACAUGACCUGAGUCAGAAGUUUCUGUACUCAUAGAACAGGUUUUGAAAUCACAGAGUAAACUAGAACUCUUCAUACUAGGAAUUGGAAACACAUAUAAUUCUAUGGAAGGUGUGUGAAUGUAAGUUGUGUUCAUGGAACAUGAUUCAUAUUGUGGAGUAAACUCAGACUCCUUAUACUGGGAGAUGAAAUCCUACAUGAUUUUCACUAACGUGCACAAAUAUAUGCGAUGAUCAUGGAGCUGACAUGUAGGACAUGAAUAGAUAUCAUGGUAACUGGUGGGUUGUAAGGGUUGUUAGGAAAUAAGCUGACCUCUGAACGCUGAAGUACUACCCCUAUACUCUAGGAUGGGUUCAUUCAAAAACUGAAAUUGAACAAUUCUAUUUCUGCAGUCGACUGUGGCAUAGCAGAAAUGAAGCCAAUCUAUGCUGAGAAUGACAUCAAAAUCAGUUGUCUCUAAUUCAACUAAGUCUGCUGAAGUGACUUUCUGAUAUACCAUAAUCAGGCAGUUACUGUAUACCCACCGGGCUAUGAUGGUUUUACCCAGUAGGGUAGAUACAGAGAAUGGCUUUACUAGAAUUUAGGGACUGACUCCGAAAUCGGCUACUAUAUAAGGAGUAACAAAAUUCAAGGAAGCUCCUGGAUCUAGCAAAGCAUAAACAUGUGAGUGAAAGAUCUGUAACAUACCAAUGAUAACAUCAAUAGAAUUUUCCUGAUUAUGUCAGGACUGAAAAGCAGAUUGUCUGUCUGGGCGUUGACCACUGGUAGCACUGGAGGUGGCACCCUGCUGAUUUGGGUGACUGGACUGAACUGAAGGAUGGUUAUGUGGACUUCAAGGACCAAGCUUGGGACAGUCUCAGACUUUGUGACCCGACUUUCCAUAUACAAAAUACAUACCACUGCCGAUUUUACACAUAACCUUAUGGUUCUUUCCACAAGUCUGACAAAGGCGAUUGGUUCGAGCACUAUUAACACUGUCCUAAGGUCUAGGGCCUAAUGCUCUAUCUCUAAUGCCAUCUCUAAAUUUUGGCACUUGAGCAUUGGCUGAAGAAAGGGAUAGGACUAAAGAUUUUGGGCGGAACCAAAAACGAUAACCACCCUCUGACGUAGGCUGAUUAAAACUGAAGCUACCUGUAUAGCUCUCUUAUUUUCCCUCCUUCUUCUUUUCUUUCUGUAUUUCCCCACCUCAAUUUGUUAGGCAUGAAUCAUAUGCCUGUCAAUCAUAUGUAAUUGUAUUGUAUUAUUCUUUGAAUAUACUCUUCCGUUUCAUAUUAGUUGACCCAUAUUGACUUGACACACCUAUUAAGAAAAUAUUAAUUAGAAAUUUAUUUUAUCAAAUUAGCCUUAUUAAUUAUGAUUUAAAAAUAUAAAUUUGAAUAAAUACACUUUGUUUACUUAUUUAAUGUUAAGGGUAGUAUUGGAUCAAGAAAUACAAGAACUUAUUGAAAACGAAAAAAAAAAUAAUAAUAAUAAUUCCUAUUUCUACACAUACACGGUUUCCCCCUGCCAACAUGAAAUAGCUUUUCAAAUAUCUAUAUAUAUAAUACUUUCCCCGCCUCUAUUUUCUCCAUCUUAAACCCUUCUUCACCUUUCUUCUCUCUAGGGUUUUGUUGAUCCGUCUUCCUAUUAUGGCUAUCGAUAUCCUCAACAAGCGGCGCCAACUCACUGACGGGUCGGAAUUUGACGUCACUCAACGGCGGCGACUCAUCGACGAAUCGGAAAUUGACGUCAUUAUACGGCGGAUACUCAAGGACGAACCCGAAUUUGACGUUAUCACUGAUGACGACGACGACGAACAAUUCAAAUUCUUGCUCUGCUCUGAGAAAUUGUCGUCGGUAUUCGAUCUUAUUGAUGAUGACGACGUAUUGCCGAUUCCGGAAUUGAAUAAAGACAGGGGGGCUGACGUUAGCGUUGGAGGAACUGGAAGUACGAUCAUGGUUGCUGGAUCCUUUUAUAUUCCCAAAUUGAACGAUGAGAAGCCGUUAGGCGAAGAUGCUAGCUUUAUCUGUAUAAAACAACAGACGAUCGGUGUUGCUGAUGGUGUUGGUGGUUGGGCUAAGAAGGGAAUUGAUUCGGGGGUGUAUUCGAGAGAAUUGAUGAAAAACGCGGAACUUGCAGUUCGAAAUAAUGAUAAUAGUACUACUGAUGAUUUGAUGAAAGUGCUGAAUGAAGCUUAUUCGAAUACAAAGGCGAAGGGUUCUUCCACUGCCUGUAUUCUGACUCUGUCUGAUGAUACAUUGCACGCUGUAAACGUUGGAGAUAGCGGGUUCGUGGUGAUCAGGGACGGAUUAAUUGUGUAUAAAUCAGAAAUUCAGCAAUCGAGGUUCAACUGUCCUUUCCAAUUGGGGAACGCGAGUAGUUCUGAUGACCCGAGUGUGGCGCAGAAAAUCAGCUUUCCGGUUAUAGCAGGGGAUGUAAUCGUGUUAGGGACGGAUGGAUUGUUCGAUAAUGUUCAUGAUUUCGAGUUGGAAACAUUAGUGAAAUCUGGGGUGUAUUCGUGGGAGUCGGAUGUGCCGGAGUCUUUGGCAUGGAGGAUUGCGCUAUAUGCAUUGGAUAAUGCAAAAAGCACGGAGCUUUAUUCGCCGUAUUCUAGGGAGUGUUCGAAAGUUGGCAUCGAACGUGAUGGUGGGAAAUAUGAUGACAUUACUGUUAUUGUAGCCAACAUUUGGCCCUUGUAGAGCUCUGUCUGAUCUAACUUACUUGGAGGAUAAGAGUUAACUAUUAGUUGUAAAUAAUUUUUUGAUCUUUGAUUCUUUAUGUUUGGUUCCAUUUACUUAUUCAUUACGUAUAAAACAUAUUUUGUUUGUCCAUUCUGUUCUUUGUCUUUAAUUUUCUUUAAUGCUUUCAAGAUUUGGCCUUUGUAAUAUACGAUUAACAAAGAUAACUGAAAAGGGUUAGUAUGGGGAACCAACGAAGACUGUAAGAUGAGUGAACCAAGUGCAAGCUUUUGCUAAGAAAUUAAGCUUUCAUAAAAGGAACCUGGUAUGCCUGAUUUAAAACAAUUAAUCCACCUUCAUUAACAAAUAGCAAGAACAAGUAUUUACAACUAUGGAGCACUACAAGGAGAUAACCUACCAUCGAGGAAGGUUAGUUUCUCCAUUAUAGGCUCAGCAGGUCAAACAAAAACCAAAAUAUAACCCAUCUAAAUACAAAGUUUCUGUGUCAAGUAACCACAUCUACUAGCUUUCCUAAUCUUGUGCAAUAUUUUCAUCCUUUCAACUAUUUCUUUCUUGAUCUGAAUGAUUGCAGACUCCACUGUAAUUGUUAUUCGCCUAAACAACUUCCAAUUCCUUGCUAUCCAUGUAUGGUAGAUUGUAGCUCCACAGAUUGCAGUUGCAAGUUCUUUUUUGAAUUGUUUCCAGUGUCUUCCUUUUAUCCAGGUGAGCCAUUGUGGGACUCUCUUCCUCUGUGUGCUGAUACCUGACCAUGAUUCCAACUCUGUCUUUACCUGGUUUGUCCAUUUGCAUUCAGCAAAUGAGUGCAACUGAUUCUCUAUUUGAUCUGCCUCACAUAAACAACAUUUAGCAUCAUCAACUUGAAUGUUUAAUCUCUGCAUUCUUUCUUUUGUAAGCAGUCUCUCCUGACUAGCUAUCCAUACAAUUAGACAGGCUAAAUUUCCCCUUUGUAAUAUAUGACUAACAAGAUAACUGAAAAGAGUUAAUAUGAUUCAUCGAUACCUGGGAGCGCCAAUGAAGACUGCAAGAUGAGUGAACCAGGUGCAAGCUCUUGCGAGGAAAUAGCUUUUCUUAACACGAUCCAGGAACUCCUGAUACGGAACAGUUUGUUCCAUCUUCUGCUUCUUCGAGAUUUUGAUAGAACGAUGUAAUCGAUUCGAAAGUGGUGUUGAAGUCAUUAUGAGGGAUCGGAGAUCAUUGAUAUAAGCUUGGAAAUCUGGCAUUUUGCAGCUCUUCUGGUGGCAUAACAUUUGUACAACCUUCAUGACAUUUGAUACUAUGAAAAGAGUGUUUGGUCCUGACGAGCAACCUAAGUCUGCCAUAUUAAGACACUGGGGGAACUCACCAAUAUUAUUGAACAUCUUCUAAAACAGGUUUUGCCUUUAGCAUUACCUUUCUCUGGAAACCAAGAAACAUGAAGUGUAAAUUAUUUACUAGUUCAUAUGACGACAACAAUAACAAUUACGCCUCAAUGCCUAGUACGUUUGGACCGACAAUGCAAGCAAGUUCACACAAGUGGAGUUGAAAAGAGAAAGAGAACUCAAUCGACCUGAAGGGUGGAGGUGCUGGCAUAACUGUAUUCUCCAUCUCCUGCAUUCGCAUGAAGAAUUUUGCUUGCUGCCAUUACUUUUGCUCUGUUUGUCUUCAUAUGUUACUACAUCAUAUGGUGUACAUAACAAAGCAAUACAAUGUUAUUUAUUAAUAGUAUCUUCUUGCAAGUAAACUUUUAUAAUUUACUACUACUCCCCUCACCCCAUAUUAGUUUAUCAAUUUCAAUUUUGCAUGCUCCUUAAAAAGUUAUAAAUAAGUACUCUCUUUAGUCCAUAUCAACUUAAUUUAUGAUUCAUUUUUUCGAAAGCUGGAAUUGAACAUAAUGGUGGAAAAUAUGAUGAUAUUACAAUCAUUGUAGCCACUAUUUUGCCUUUAGUGGGAGAUAAUGUAUCAUGAAUUUAAUUAAGCUUUAUUCGUUGAGGGUCAAAAAAAAAAAUUAUAAGCUCAGUGUAAAUUAAUUUUGAUUCAACUCCAAUAGGUAUAUCCAUCUUUUUUGACUUCUAAACGAAAUUUCAAAAGUUUUGACCUAACAAACUAUAUAUCCUGACUCUUAUGAUACUCCCUCCCUCCAUCAAUUGUUUUCAACUAUUUACUUCAGGUAUAGGUUAAGAAAUAGUAAAUGUUAUGGGUAAUUUUUAUCAUAUUAUUUUUUGAAUAUAAAAAAUUAAUGGUUUGAAAAAUGCAUUAGAUAGUGAAUUCGGUUAUUUAAUACUAGAAGUAAAUGGGUAGAAAUAAGUAAAUUAUUCAUUUAUUUUUCAAACUGAACAAGUAUUAUUGAACAGUAAUUUUUUUUAAUAUAGUAGAUAAUUAAAGAUGAACGGAGGAAGUAAUAAACAAAAGUGCACUGCCAUUAGUUUAAGACAAAGACCCGUUCAAGUUGAAGCAAAACUGCCAGUAAGUUUGUUUCAAUUAAGAGUCUUUGUGAUUGACACUUGUUGUGCUUUGUCACCAUUAAUUAUAGUGAGAAAAACAAUCUCUCUUUUAACGGGGUAAGAAUUGUUUGGCACCAUUGUCUAGUAAUUAUAGUUACAAACAAACCUAUAAAUAGUUGCAUCUAAUGGAUAAAUGUUUUUAGUACAAAAACAAAAUCCAAAUUUGAUCAAACUUUCAAGUAUAUAUAUCUUCUAAUAAGUCUUUUUGUGAAUAUUUUGGAAGAAAAAAAUGCAGGCUAUCAAGGAAAAGUUAAAUGAUAUGAGCGCCAUGCGCAAGGCCAAAGCUGAAGCUAAGGAGGAGGAAAAAGUAAGAAAAUAUAGUGUGUAUGAUCGUAUAUUUGGAAAGCCAAAAAAAUAUUUUUGCCCAAGAAACACUUUAGAAAUCUUGAUCAAAUAUAAAUUGUUGUUUUAAUAUUCGUAAAAAUAUUUUCCAAAUUAAUGAUUAGCUAAAGGAACCUUUCAGCUAGACAAAAACACAAUUAGCUAGCAUAAAAAGUUUAAAUAUGAUAAAAACUAAUUUUUACGUCAGCGACUUUACAACAAAAAAAUUAUAGAAAUUCGGCCAAACAAUCAAUUAGCAUUUAUAACUUGUAGCUUGAAAUAAAAAAAUCAUACAUACAAUCUAUGCUGCUUAGACUUUUUAAAAAUGUCAUUUGGUGUGUGUCGAAUCCUUUAAAAAUAAUGCGUGUUUGGGGGAUCCAACACUGGUGUGACAACAUUUUUGGAAAGUCUUAGCAACUUGGCAUUCAACUGUACGUGGUAUAACAGAUUAAACUAUAUCGAUAAAUUAAAAAUUAUUCUACUAUCAGUAUAUAUAACUUAAAUUUCAAAUGAAAUAGGCAGAGAAGGAGAUGGCUAAGGCAAGAGUAGAAGUAGCACGUGAGGUAAGAUUGGCAAAAGAAGCAGAAGCAGCCAUGGAUAUGCAUGUCAACAAAGCAGCAGAGAAGAUUGCAAAUGAAGAGAAAAAGCACAUUAAUGAAUCUACAGAUGGAACCUUGGACCCUUAUGCAUCUAGUUUCACCAACACUAACAAUCCCAGUGGAGGACACCCUUAUGGUAAUCAUCCUGGUCAGAUGAAUAAUGCUGGCGCAGGACCAAAUAACCAUCUACUUUAAACCCUUCAUGUACGGGGGAGACGGAGCCGGGAAUUCCACAAAAGGGGUUAAAAAUAUAAUUAAGUAAUUAUGAAUAAACGAAGGAGGUUCGAAUGAAGCCCUUUCAUUUCCUAGUUGAGCCCAUGUUUAUGUACUUAGGUAGUUUGAUGCCUCAAGCUUUGUUAUAUAAUGGAAGAAUAAGUUGAGCAACUUUUGAUGUUCUCCAAUCUUCCAAACAAAUAAUAAUACAAAACAAAGAGGUUUUUACAAUGCGAGAUCUAAAAACAUAUCAUUUCAUGUGGCUACAUCAGUAUGAUAUGAUAGAUGAAAUAGUAAUUUGGAUUAUAUUUAGUGAUAAUCUUAUCUCUUUUUUUAUCAUCUCCCACCUUUUCUGUACAAGUUAGAGAAGGUUUAACGUAAAAUUUACACAAAAUUACUUGAAUGAGCAACAAAGCCUGAUCUCUAGAUUUCAAUUUUAAUUUGGUCGUAGUGCUCCUAAAACACGUUUUGUAUUAUUAAACACCACAAGUUCUAAUUGUGAAUUAAUUGACAUGUGAUUUUAAAAAGAAAACUCCCUUACUCUAAAAUGUGAUUGUAAAGUUUCUCUAGUACUGCGGAAAACACUCCGUCAAAAAUCAAACAAAAUACAACAAAAACAGCGUACUAGCAUAUCUCGGCUUAAGAAAAAAUAAUCCAACGCAGUCCAGAAAAUGAAUAAACGCUACUAAAGAAACACCAAGACCUCAAAAAGAGGUCAGAAAAAACCAACCUCACGAGGUCAAUAUUAUAAUUUUUAGCUCCAAAAAAAAAGAAAAAAAAAUUGCAAACGGAUUAGAGCGGCAAAUACGAAAUGUCUGGAUUCUUUUCUCCGUUUUAUUAGAGCCCUCACUUUAUUUGCACAUUGCGCUUAAAAUCCUAACGAACCUGUGAGUUUUUUUUGUUUUUUUUUUUGCACCUUUUGCUUUUGAUAACACUAGUUGUUAGGCUAUAAAUGAGGCAAUAAAACAGGUAGCAACGUAAGAAAGCCAUUCUCAACAAUUACAUGUGACUCCUCAUUAAAAGGAAAAUGUUAUUAUAUGUUUUAGCCAAAAAUUUCUUUUCAAAGUUAAACAGUACAUGAGAUUCUUUUACCAAUAUAUAUAUAUAUAUAUAUAUAUAAAGAGAAGACAUUUAAAAAAAUUAAAGUGGGACUCCCCAAAAAAUUGGGCAUCAAGCCAUUGCUUUAGUUGUCUUAUAGUCAGCCUUGUCCGUAGUUCCACCAGAGAUGAUGCACUAGGAUCCAGAUUGUCUCAUUCUCUGCAUUUUGUUGAACAAAUAAAUUUAUUUAUUCGUAGGAAAAACACAAAAAAGAAAGAAAAUACGUGUAAGAUAUAUACUCAUGAAACUUCAAAAAUGUGCUGAAAUUAAUACAAAAACAAACAAUAUCUGUUGUCGCGAAUUCUGAAACAAUCAUCCAAUGUGUUACAAGGAUAAGUGAAAACAUUAUUGAUUAUCAUAAAAUCAAACAGUGAACUAAAAAAGAAAGAAUUUGGGGGAGGUACUUUUGGUGUGGUUACAUAGCAGCUUAUGAGAUCAAUCAUAUUUGAGAAGGACGUUACCUCUGCUUUGCAAAAUGGAGCAGCUAUAUAUGUACGAAACUAAUACACCAACUUCCAGUAUUUUGUCAUAUGUUCGUCUUAUGAAAUCAACUAAAAGUUAAUACAAUAUGAAAAGGAUAUCAAAAAUGAAGUCUCACCUACUCUGCUAAUCAAAUGAUGUAGCUGAUUCUAUUCCUACAGAAUACAGAUAGAACACAUUUAGAUAAUUUGAGCUACCCAAUACUCAGUACAACUUAUGCCUGAAAAUCGAAAUUGUUGACAGCAAAGCUGAAGUAAACAAACUAAGACAAUAACAUACCCAGUGCAGUACCACAAAGUCGGGUCUCGAGAGGUAGAGUGUAUGCAGACCUGACCUCUACCUUAGAAGUGGGUGGACCGGCUCAAGACAAAAACAGCCUAGAAAUAGAAGUAAUGAAAGUACAAGUGAUAAGAGAUAGUAACAAAAACAUUAGAUAGUACAAGAAAAGUACUAAAACAAAAUAAUACUAUAAUCCAAUUAGAAGAAACAAAAUAUAGAACAAAAAACGAAGGACAAGAAACUAAAAAGAGUAGUCCUACAACUACCAGUAAGGGCAUGUAAACACACUACAUUUUAAAAAUACUAAAGGAUGUAGUUGUCACAGUCCAACUUCAGAACCGUGAUGGCACCUAUCCCACCCUCCAUGAUAGGUAAGCCAUGAAUCCAAUUCCAAACACAACAUCCCAAACUAAUAGAAGCGGAAGGAAUUAUGAAUAAAAUAAUUUUCGAAUAAUCUCAAAUGUAAAUUGUUAGACUAGUAUAGUCAAAACAUAGACAAUCCCAGUUCUGAUAGUCAUUAACACAAGCCACUAAAUAGCGAAAUCAAAGAAAAGUUUGAAUAUCUUAAAAUGCAUAAAGAUAAGGCUAGGGGAGAUUUCAGUAGUUUCUGAAAACAAAAGCAGCUACCUCAAAUUUCCAAAGAUGCUAACAUCGAAGAAACCACAAGAACCAAUGUCCAAAAGUCGUCGGAUCGAUACCUGCACGUAGUGCAGAGAAAAAAAGCAAGGGUGAGUACAGAACCACGUGUACUCAGCAAGCAUCGUCGACCAACCCUAAUUCAAAGUGGCGACAAAUAACACCACGUCAAUCAUCUAAAAACAAACAUACAACCUGCACUAAGGAAAACCACUCUAAUCUAACUGAAUAAUCAGGUCUAACUGUCCUAAAGAUAUCAUAACACAGUUCAAAAAAUCCCCAAUAGGGGUGGGCAUUCGGUCGGUUAGGUCUGAUUGUUUAAUAUCGGUUCGGUUUAUCGGUUUGACAAAAAUGACAUUCGUAACCAAACCGAAAUAAAUUUGGUUUGGUUUCAAUUUUACAAAUUCGGUUCGGUUAUUUCGAAUUUUUAUUUCGAUUUGAAAUAUUAAAGUAGUUAGUCUCUCUUUUUCGUAACUGAGCAUUUAAACUGAUGGAUUUUUUUAGAAAAAUUAUUUUUUUCAAACCUAUUUUUCAUUCUCAAAUAUAAAUAACUCAACAUCGAUGAAGCGAAAUGAAAUAAUCAUAAGCUUAAUAUAAUACAUAAAGUUAUUGAUCAUUACAUAUAAUAUAACCUUGCAUAAAUAGUCCAUAAAACAGUCCAAAGUCAUCAAAAUAGUCCAUAAAAUAUUUGAGUCACUAAAACAAUCCAUAAACAGCUUGUGGCGUUACGGCAUAUGCGAAUUUGCUAUUAAAUGUUAAUUGUGAAUGUGAAUUACUAAAUAUUAUAUAUAUAUAUAUAUAUCAUAUAUAUAAUAAAAUAUAUAUAUUAUUUAUCUAAAAAUAUAUAUAUAUCAUUUAUUUAUUUAUAAAAUAUCGGUUUUUCGGUUUAACUGAAUUUUAAAAAAAAAAUGAAAACCGAACCGAAAAAUCGAAAUUUUAAAAUUACAAACCGAAAAAUCGAAACCAAAAUUAAAUUUCGGUCUGGUUUUUCGGUUUAAACCAAAAUAUCCCCACCCCUAAUACAGUAAAUCAAGUACUUAAUAAAUAAUCAAAACUCAACAAAUACACCUUACUGAAUCUGAGUCGGGAAUGAACAAAUGUUGUGCAACGCAAUGCAUAUGCUAUGUACACAUCUACCGAGCAAUGACUUUAAGGUCAAGACCCAUGGGGGAUUCACAACAUCCAUGUACUGUGCAGGCGUGCACUCCAAUCUCAAUAAAUAUAUUGUGCAGGCAUGCACUCCGACCACAAUAAUAGAUAACAAUGUACAGGCGUGCACUCCGAUCCCAUAUGUAAUGCGUAACAUGCGACUUCGAUCUCAAAUCAACAAUAAUGUUAAGCAAAGCAUUUCAUGUCUUAUGCCGAAUAAAUAUCAACUCACUUAUCAAGUGAGAGUAUUCCCAUUAACCACCUUUUUCAACAAUUCAUUUACCAUAGCAAGUCAGCACAUCGUGCUAGCAAAUAGGGAAACAGCUCAAAACAUACAAUUAACUGAUUCUAACCCCUCAAAUAACAUCGUACCCGCGUACUCGUUUCUUCGUCCAUAUGGGACCCUCAUUCCCCAUUACUCAUAACUAACAAAUAAGCACUUUGAAAAAGAGUCUAAGAAAUUUUCAACUUGCCUCAAAAGAAGUUCAAACGUCAAUUAACAAGCUUGCCCUUACGUAAAAUCUCUGAACAGUCAAAAUCUGUUCAAAUAUCUAAUCCCCAUAAGAGUACAAACUAGCGUGUCGAAUUUAAGCUAACAUGCAUCAUUAUUCAACUCUCAAACCAAGAAUUUUUACUCCAAAAAUCCUAAUUUAUUAAAUAAAAGAACACAAACUAGCAAUCACUAAACUCAACCUGACAACAUAGCCAUUUGUCUGCCUACCAGUACAGCCAAUGAUUGGACCAUAAUGUCACUUUUUCCUUUUAAUCAUUAUCUCGUAAUUAGUGUUCUUAUAUCAAUUCUCAUUCUUACUACAUUAAUCCACCGCUAACUUUAAUCUAACCUAAUAUUUUCUGCCAACAACCAACUAUUAAUAUCAUGCCCUCCAGAUCAUGAUAAUUAAGAUGGCAUAAAAAUAGAUAGCUAACCUGAAAGCCGACUCUGAAAUCCUCGCAUGAAAAGAAAAAAAAAACUGCAACUUUGUGCCUUAUGUGCUCAACCUUAUGAGGUGUUUUAUUAUUAUUCUUUUAUUUUAAAACCUCCCCACUUAAAUAUAUUCUUGUAUUGACCACAUAAGUAAAUAAAUUAUAGGUUUGACCCAUUAGAUUACUAAUUAAAUUAAUCAUCUAAAAUAUCCAAAAUUUGAAAUAGAUAUCCUCAUCUCUUUGACAACCCAGAUACCUUCUUUCUCUUUAAUGACCCUGCAAAUUGUUUUAUAAACUUAUUUUAUUUUAACCCACCACCACCCCCGUUUUUAGACGUGAUUUAUGACUUACGAGAAUGAUUCUUGAGGUGUUCGAAUGCGAUUUAAAUCAUUAGAUGGACUGUUGAGUUUUAAUAAAUUUAAGUUCGCUCACAGUCAACCUUUGAUCAAGAAGAUCUCGAUUUGGUAUGUUAAUGUUUCCAAUAGGCCCGGACGUACCUUUUAGUCAAUUUCUAUAUAUAAUUUAUUUUUAUACGGGGUUUAAAACAAACUAUGAGGACCUACUUAAAAUUUUGGGUAUUUUAGAUAAUUAAUUUAAUUAAUAUUUUAAUGAGUCAAACCCAUAAUUUAUUUACUUAUAUGGCCAAUAAAAGAAUAAACUUAAGUGAGGAGAUUUUAAAAUAAAAGCAUAAUAAUAAAACACCUUAUAAGGUUGAGCACAUGGGUCACAAAGUUGCAGCUUUUUUUUCUUUUCAUGCGAGGAUUCCAGAGGCGGCUUUCAGAUUAGCUAUCUACUUUCAUAGGAUUUAUUCCUAAUGUUAUCUUAAUUAUCAUGAUAUGGAGGGCAUAAUAUUAGUAGUUGGUCGUUGGCAUAAAAUAUUAGGUUGGAUUAAAGUUAGCGGUGGAUUAAUGUAGUAAGAUUGAGAAUUGAAAUAAGAACACUAAUUACAAGAUAAUAAUGAAAAGGAAAAAGUGACACUAUGGGCCAAUCAUUGGUUGUAGUGGUAGGCAGGAAAAUGGCUAUGUUGCGAGGUUGAAUUUAGUGAUCACUAGUCUGCGUUCUUUUAUCUAAUAAAUUGGGAUUUUAGGUCUAGAUUUUUUGAGUAAAAAUUCUUGAUUUGAGAGUUGAAUGAUGAUCUAUUUUAGCCUAAAUUCGACACGCUAGUUUGUACUCUUAUGAGGAUUAUGUAUUUGAACAGAUCUUGACUGUUCAGAGACUUUACGGAAGGGCAAGCUUUGUAAUUGACGUUUGAACUUUUUUUGAGGCAAGUUGAGACUUUCUUAGACUCACAAAGUGCUUAUUUGUUAGUUAUGUGUAAAGGGAGUAAUGAGGAAUGGGGGUCCCAUAUAGGUGAAGUAACGAGCAUCUAUGCGGGUACUGAUGUUAUUUGAGGGGUUAAAAUCAUUUAAUUGUACGUUUUGAAUUGUUUUCCUAUUUACUAGCCCAAUGGGCUAAUUUGCUGUGGUAAAUGAAUUAUUGAAAAAGAUGGCUAAUGGGAAUACUCACACUUGAUAAGUGAGUUGAUUUCGAAAUUGAUGUUUAUUCGGCAUAAGACAUGAAAUGUUUUGCUUAACAUUAUUAUUGAUUUGGGAUCGGAGUUGCAAGCCCGCACGUCAUGCAUUGCAUUACAUAUAGGGUCGGAGUGCACACCUGCACAUUGUUAUCUAUUAUUGGGGUCGAAGUGCACGCCUGCACCAUAUAUUUAUUGAAAUCGGAGUGCAUGUCUGCACAAUACAUGAAGUUUGUGAGUUCCUAUGAGUCCUGACCAUAAAGCCAUUGCUAGGUAGGUGUGUACAUAGCAUAUGCAAUGUAUUUGUUGACUUUGUAUUAUUUAUUAAGUAAUUGAAUUUUUGUUACUUGAUUUACUGGAUUGAGAAUUUUUUGGACUGUGUUCUGAUAUCCUUAUGACUGUUAGACUUGAUUAUUCAGUUAGAUUAGGGUGGUUUUCCAGAGUGCAGGUUAUAUAUUUGUUUUUAGAUGGUCGACGUGGUGUUACUUGUCACCGCUUUGAAUUAGGGUCGGUCGACGAUGCUUGCUGAGUACAUGUGGUUCCGUACUCAUCCUUGUGUUUUUUCUGCACCAUACGUGCAGGUACCGAUCUGACGACUUCUGCAAAUCGAUUCCCGUGAUUCCUUCGGUGUUAGCAUCUUUGGAGAUUCGAGGUAGUUGCUAUUGUUUUCAGAGACUGCUGAAAUCCCUUCUAGCCUUAUCUUUAUGCAUUUUCCGCAUUUUAAGAUAUUCAAACUUUUCUUUGAUUUCGAUAUUUAGUGGCUUGUGUUAGUGACUACCAAACCUGGGAUUGUCUUGUUUUGACUAUACUAGUCUAACAAUUUACUUUUGAGAUUAUUCGGAAAUUAUUCUAUUCAUAAUUCCUUCCGCUUCUAUAAGUUUGGGAUAUUGUGUUUGGAAUUGGGUUCAUGGCUUACCUAUCACAGAGCGUGGGAUAGGAGUCAUCACGGUUCCGAAGUUGGGUCGUGACAGAUGGUAUCAGAGCCCCAGGUUCAUUGGUCUCACAAGUACAAGUCAAGUCUAGUAGAGUCUCGCGGAUCGGUACGAAAACGUUCGUUACCCAUCUUCGGGAGGCUAUAGGACUUAAGGAAAUAUUCAUUUUCUUCUCUCUAUUAUCAUGCAAUAUUGAUCCCUUUAAUUUGAAAUACUGAAAUACUUAUCUUAUUCUCUCACAGAUGGUGAGGAGUCACACAUCUCAAGAUGGUGGUCAAGAGCCCCCGCCAGCCCCCGAGCCGAUCGCCCGAGAUAAGAUACACAAAUGGGGUAAGAGACGUGGUAGGGGCAGAGGUCGUGGUAGAGAGAGAUGUCGAGGAGCCGCUCAGAUUUCUGAUAGUGUGGGGUCUCUCGGGGUUGAGUUCGAGGCAGGUGGUGAUGAUGUUCAGGUUCCAGCUGAUGAUGCGGGCCUAGGUCAGGCACCACCAGGGUUUGUUGCUACACCAAUUCUUCAGGAUACCUUGAUUAAAGUGUUGGGUGUUGUGGAGACUAUAACUCAGGGAGGCGGAUCAUUUGGUACUCCACAGGGUUCACAAGUUAGGAUGGGGGCACAGACCCUAGAUAGCAAUCCAUUCUAAUUUAUCAGGGUCUAGUGGUUCAGCUAGCAUCGAGGUACGAUGGUAUGCCCUUACCAGGGGUUGGAGCUACCGGUGGGAUUAGGGCGGGUAUGUCCGAUGAGGAGCAGCGUCGAUUCGAGAAACUUAGGAAGAUGGAUCCACCGCAGUUUCAGGGUGAUCAGCGUGAAGAUGCCCAUGAGUUUCUGGUCAGUUGCCACGAGAGACUUCAGAGUGUGGGAUUGGUUGACUCCCACGGAUUAAUUAUACUGCCUUACAGAUGUGUGGUCCCACCAAGCAGUAGUGGUGCUCCUAUAUUGAUUCCAGCCAAUGGGUUCUCCACCGAUGACUUGGGCGACGUUUGCACAAGCUUUCCUUGACAAAUUCGUCCCUCGUAGCUCGAGGAAGGAGCGUAGGAACCAGUUUGAGAAUUUGACAUAGAAGGGUAUUUUCAUGAUUGAGUACGAGAUUCGAUUUUAUGCAUUGUCCCGUUAUGCUAUGGUGAUCUUGCCAGACAAGGCCAAGAUGAACAAAAGGUUUAUGAGAGGGUUGACACUUUGGAUCAGAGAGGCCGUGUUUGUUGUAGCCCAAUCUGGGGCUUCUCUUCAGAGGGUGGUUGAAACAGCAAAGGAGUUUGAGUUGAUACAUCGUGAGCAGUAUGGGGAUCUAAGGGGCAAGAGGUCCGGUACUUCAGGUUGAUUCACUAGUACCUCAUCUGGAGGUAGGGGUUCAUUCAAAAGAGAUUUUCGCCCCCAGCAUGGUACGCCAAUUCAGGCAGACAUCAGUAGGUAGACAUUCAGGUCGGGGGGGUUAUGGGUCGGGACAAGCUUCACAGGGUUCAUCUCAGCGGUUUUCAGGUCGUGGUGGCCAUAUCGGAUAUUCAGGUCAUUCUCGACAUUUGAUGGCUCCCAGUCCUGUCAUGAGUGUGGUAGUCCAGAUCAUCACGGAGGGUGGAAUAGGUGUCAUCACGGUCCCGAAGUUGGGCCGUGACAGUAGUACCUCUGAUGGUCAUGGUACAACGGGAUUCUAUGAUAGCCAGAUCCAUUUCCCAGUAACAGCGCAACCUCAAUAGGGAAAAAGAGAAUGGAUUACAUGAGUCCGCAAAUUUCUCCAGAUUCAUUAAGAUGCAUGUGCCCUACACGUGCAGAACCCAGGAUUACUUGAUGUUAAUAAAAUGUUAAUGCGCCUAAUCUAGGCCACAUCAUCACACACAACGAUAAUCCAUUCAUUAGUUAGACACUUAAAGCACAGUUCUGAUGAUUAGUUUCCUGCGAUAAUCCGUUCGUUAGACAGACAAUUGACGAUUGUCACACAUGAUAAUAAAAGUUUUUAAGGAAAAGAACUUGGAGCAAAGCAAUAGUACUAUUGAGCCCCUAAUACCAUUGGACUUAGAUGAAAAACUCCUCGGUUCACAAGGCCAGAACUUUUAAGGAUAUUUAAGAAAGAUCUUUGCAUAAGCUAUCACAUCCAAGAUUCGGAUGGCUUCCAUCUUCUAUAUCUGUUUCAAUUGAUACAUAUAAGAGCUUAAAUUUUUUAUAAAAAGAAGAAGAAAGAUAGGGUACUAAAGAAUUCCAAACAGAUUGUUUGGAAGGUGUAUUCAAAAAAGACCGUAAAAGUAAAAAAAAAAAAAAAGAUAAAUAAUUUACCCUUUUCAUUAAUAGUUUGAUCACAAAAUUAGUAAAUAGUUUAUUUAGCACAAGAGAGAUUUCUUUUCUGAUGAAGAGCACAAGAUAGAUUCAAAUGUUCACUAAGACAGAGUUGAUCCAAGAGUUGAUCCAAGUACUGCUAAACAACCUGUUUUUUUUGGCUAUCACGUAACAAUACCCUUAAUUUAGACAUUGACAACUGUUUUGAAGUUUUGCUACUCUUUGCGUGUACAAUGUAAUCAUGCAUGAUAUGCUUCAUCCUAUUGCUUAUGCCAUUUGAUUUCAAGAUAAAUACAAUCAUCUCAUUGCAAUAAACAUUGGUAAGUGUUUGUCCAUUGGUUUCCUUUAAUCUUCAAAUCAUAUGUAGACCUUUUUUUUUCCUUUUCCGUUGAUAUCCCUCUUUUGUUGGAUAAUUGAGCCUUACAUGUAAGUACUUUGGUUUGUCUAAAGUGAUGGCAAACAUAUCCAUUCAAUUAAUAAAAUAUGAAGUUCUCCUAGUAAAAAUAGCUAACUUAACAUUUGUGAACCUUGAAAAAACUUUAAAAUGUAUAUAAAACCAAGAUUAGUACAAAUACCCGGAACCCUCUGUCAAAAUAUUAUUGAAAUAACUUCAUAUAGGUGGAAAUUUUCAAGAGAUGUAUCCUCAAGAAAACAUAAGAAGCAAUUAUCAAAUUUAUUGGAACACAUUAAGAAGGUGAAACCGAGAAGGAACAAAAAUACCUUUUGGAAAAUAAGUUCACCAACUUAUUUGUAUAUGGAAUUGCAAUAACACACGCAAUCAGAAUAGACAUGGCAUCAAACCUCAACCUGAGAAUUUUAUCAAAAGAAAACACAAUAAGUAGGAAACUUACGAAGUAGUAAUUGAUAAGUAAAAAUAAACUAUAUUGACAAUAAACUAAAAUUUUGAUAGAUAUUCUUUCAGAGAACACAUGGAAGCACUUUUAAUGAAAAUACUUUUGUAAGAGACAUCACAUUCAAUUACAUCAUAUAUAAUGAAUGUACAAGUUAUUAACAAAUAGGGAAAAAAUCUUACCGUCAGCCAAUUAUCAGUGCCUUUGACCCAGUAGUUCGAGACUUUGUCUAAAAGAACAAAAUCAAAGAAAUUAAGAAAACAAACACAAUCAUAAAACUACUUGUUUUUGCAGUACUGUACAAUCCACUCCUUAGAAAUUUUAGAUGAAGACAAAAUCUUGAGGUUGUGCAUCUAGGGCAGAAGAAGAAUACGGGUAUGGAACAAAACAGAAAAUCAGGGGAGGAAGUGAAUAGCGAAAACCUGAUAACGCAUGUGAUGCAACCAGAAACAAACAGAUAUUGAAGAAAUCCAAAGCUCCACAUGUCUUUCUUCUGAAAAAAGCGACAUUGAGCGAAAGAGGGAUUAAUUUCAAAUGAAAAGGUGGCGAGACUCAUGUUUCAAGUGUAUGCACAUGGCUUUGGGAGAUGAAUGAAGCUCAACACACCUCAUUCCUGUAAAAUUACAAAUUGCACUUAUUCAUUCGUUUUGUUGGUAAUGCACAUGGUACAAUUUUUUGCUGCAGUUUCCGUACCUCUCUUGUUCACACACACAUAUAUAUUACUUAUUAUUUUUUACAAUUGUCAAGACUGACAUUUGUUUAAGAGCAGAAAAAAGUAGUUUCAAAGACCAACCCUUGCCACUACUUCAGUUAGGAUUGAUCCCCCUACUCAUGCUACACCUUUUUGUGUGCAGAGUUAGGUCCGAGUACCAGUGGAGCAUGCGAAGUUGCUCGAUUUCAGGAGUUCUUUGUUGGAAACUUCACGGUGAGCUCCUUGACCGAUCUACAACACCAGUCUCCUCUAUACCUUUUCCUUUCGUGUCUUUCAUUUCAGAUAAUGCAGUGAUACUUUUAGAUUUGUAUAAAUCUAGGCUACAGUUCUACGACUUCCAGGGUUUAGGGGAUAUUGUGGUAUUUCCGUAUUUCUAUGGCUAUUAGACUAUUUUUUCUUAUCAGAUAAACAGUUUCAUAGAUUUCAUUGAUACUAACAAGGCCAACAUGGCCGUAUACAAGAGGUAUACCAAAAAAGGAGAAAAACCUACAAAAAAUGGUUCUCUCUAAAAGACACCAAAUACUCUAUACCAACAGGAACUACAUGGAUGCACCAAAAGAAAAUAAGAUAUCGAAGACUACUUCUCAAUUGAGCAGAAUUCAUCCCCACCCCUUCAAAAAGCUCUCCUAUUCCUCUCUUUCCAAAUAACCCACAUUAGUACAAGAGGAAUAACAACAUUCCACGCCUUGUGUCUUCUUCUUCUAGCUCCACUUUCCGGCUGAACAUCAACUCCUUCACAGAUCUUGGCAUUACCCUGGAAACGCCAAACCAUCUGAAUAUAUCCCUCCAUAACCUCGUUGCUAAAUCAAAAUGCAAUAGAAUAUUAUCUGCGUCCUCCCCUCCCUCCUUGCAAAGGAAACACCAGCUUAAACAAACAACCUUACGUUUUCUAAGAUUCUCCGCUGUCAAUAUCACUCCUCUAGUAGCUAGCCACACGAAGAAACUCACCUUCCUUGGCACCAUAGACGUCCAGACCGCACUGUGUGGAAACCUCACCUCCGCCCUAACCAAGAGCUUCUCAUAAAAGGACUUAACUGAAAACACUUUGUUACCUCCCAACUCCCAAUACAUUGCAUCGGGUCUGUCGACUAGGUCGCAUUGCUCCUGAAAUCUUUGAAGUUCGAACAUCUCCAAAUCCUGAAAGUUUCUCCUGAACCACAAAUCCCAGAAACACCUGUCCCCUUGUGUCCCCCUAACUCGCUGAGCAGACUCAUCUCUUUGCAAGAUACCCUAUACAAAAUUGAAAACACACCCUUAAGCACCAUCCCUCUACCACUUAUGACCCAAAAACUAACCUGUACUCCCAUCCCCGGCCUUAAAAUCAAUGUUGUCAUAAAAGGCUUCCCAUCCCUUCAUUAUGCACCCACACCCGAAAGGCAUAAUGAUCCUACUUGUUCUCCACCCCCCUUCCGAUUAUCCAUAUUCAUCCGCUAUCACCCCUCUCCAUAAAGCAUCUCACUCGACCCCAAAUCUCCACAACCAUUUACCUAAAAGUGCUGUGUUAAAAACCUUCAAAUCCUUAAUCCAAAGUCCUCCCCGCUGUUAGACUAUGUUAUGAGUUAAUUAUGUAUUUCGCUUUUUGGUUCCGCUUUAAUAUAAAAAUUGGGCAAAAACAGGUUAGGGUUUGCCUAAACUUAGGUGUAGGUGCUCUCACGACUGGGUUGUGACAAUUUAGUGUUAGAGACCCACAUUCACUGACCUCCUGGGUACAAUAGUCAUGUCUAGUAGAGUUUUGCAGAUAGGAUAGAGACAUGUAUUAUCUCGAGAGGCUAUGAAACACUUCGGAAACAAGUUUAUAGCCUUGACCGCCUGGUAACCUUCAAGCAUUUGUAGAUCUCUAUUUUUUCACCAAAUUGGAACUAUUAUUAAUUGGGGGGGUCAGCCCGGUUCAUACCCACUCCGUGGGUGUCGGGGAAGGGAUAAUCUAGGCAGCCUCACCCCAACUUCGCUGAAGGGCUGAUUCGAACCCAGGACCUGGCACACCACGGUAAGCAAUCUUACCGCUGAGCCAAGCCGGUAAUUUCACUUAAUAAUAUAUUAUUAACACACACACACACGCACACACACCAAUUUUUUGGUUUUGUUUUUGAACAUUUGUGCCUUUCAAAUGCUAAGUAAGCCGGAAAAGCCUAUUUCUGAUGCAGGGGAUAUAAUGAUUUUUCAUGGAACGAAUUUGUCACUACGAAGGGAGAAUUAAAAAAUUAGAAACAUGAAACCAAAACAUAUACAUGUUAGAAACAAUUUUAAUGUUAUGGAGUGUAGAAACAAUUCUAGAUAAUUGACUAAAACAGAACACUUGCAUUUCUCAACUUAAUGAAGCCCGGAAAGUAAUGAAUCUCGUACUAUCACCUUAUUUUUCAAUAGAUGGAUAUUAAAUAUUUCUUCUUGAUAAUCUUCUUUACUGUUUUGAUUCAUUUUCAGUUUUAGAUGUGUCAUUAGUUUACAUUGGAAAGUUCCGGAAUGAGAAUUACCUGAUACGUAAACUGAUUUGUUAAAUUUUUGAAGCGGAAGUGAUCAUUUUUGAAAACCAUACUAAUAAAAACAUUUUCAAUAACAACAACAAUAAAAGCGCAAAUAAAUAUAUAAGUAUCCAGUAAACGUUAAAAGAAAAUUGACCAUAGAUUCAAUAAGUGAACGAACCAACAAACUUUGAAAAAUACAAUCACUAAACACAACAGAAAGUCUAUUCAAAUAAGGACAACAGGAAAGAGAUGUGAACAGUCUCUUGAGUUUUGACACAACUUAAACAUGCAAAACAGUACAAUACAUAUACAAUCCAUGGGACAACAUGGACAUACAAAACAUUACUAAUUAAAAAACACAAACAUUGCUGCUUGGUCCUUAAAUUUUAUUGUUGUGGUUUGGAUCUUGAACAUUAAUUUUGUUCCAAUAUGAAUCAUAAAAUAACGCCAUUACAUCAUCGUUACUCCAGUCUAUCGACUCAGACAAUGCUGGACUCCAUUCUCCAUCAGUGUUGUUGUGGUUUGUAUCUUUAGCAUUAGUUUUGUUGAAAUAUGAAUCAUCAAAAAAAAAUCAUUUCAUUAUCAUCAACCCAGUCUAUCUACUCAGUCAAUGCAGGACUCUGUGGAAAGCCGUCAACAGAGUAUUUUUGGUAGUCAUUCAUCAGCAAUGAUAAAUCCACUGUGGGGAUAUACAUUGAAGAGUCCAUUUGAGGUAUCAUCAAUAUGAAUCAUCAAAAAAAAAUCAUUUCAUUAUCAUCAACCCAGUCUAUCUACUCAGUCAAUGCAGGACUCUGUGGAAAGCCGUCAACAGAGUAUUUUUGGUAGUAGUCAUUCAUCAGCAAUGAUAAAUCCACUGAGGGGAUAUACAUUGAAGAGUCCAUUUGAGGUAUCAUCACAGGAAACACUGAAGCAGACACUUCAUAAGCCAUUGUUGUUGAAGGUAAUGGAGGGGCCACUAUAGGAGCCCUUCUAUGAGGAACUCGCGAGGGGUCCACAGUAGGAACCAUUUGAGGAGGAGCCGCUAGAUGAAACAAUUGUUGGGGCAACAUGGGAACCACCCAUGUUGGAGCCACAUCAGGGACCAACAAAGGAUCCCUUUCCACCUCAAAGUUGGCCCCUCAGAUCUAGUCCAACCUGGCACCACCGGUCCAACAACUGCUUGAGAGGCAUUCGAUGUAGAACCCUCUCUGUCAAUAGGAAGGACUUUUUCCUUCAACACUUCAUUCUUCGUGUUCGUGUUUGUGAUUUCUUUAACCUUGGUGAACUCUUCUCUUGUCACUACACUCUUUGAUUGAACCAACGUUGGAAGACUCUUAAACUUUCUAAAGGUGUUGAGUGUAUCUUCAUAAUGUGGAAAGACCACUGGUCCAUUGCUGUAAGGACUGUAGAUGACAGCAGCUAUUUCAACACCACAAAGUGUGUUGAGUUCAUGAGCUUUUUUCAUGAUUGUCUUCUAUUGUAUGAGAGUUUCCUCUCAAUGUUAUUUUCAAUGAAAUGAAAAAUUCAUGUUCUUUCUCGUCAUGGCUAAAAGGGGGAAAGAGGAGGAGAAAUGUGUGUUUUUGGAUGGGGAUCAAAUGACUUUGGUAUUGUUGUGUUUCUUUGCCUAGGAUUGAUUUCUAUUUUUAGGGGAAAUGCAAAUUCGAAUUAUUUUGGAAUAGUUUGAAUUAGAGGAUUCUUAGCUGUCAGAAGUAACUAUUUUGGCAUGAACUUAAAUAAGGGUGUAUUAGAUACCAAGUUAGAUGUUAUCAUCUUAAAAUAUAGGUAGUUUAUGGCUCUGAUCUUAUCCUGACCAAAUUUUGAUCCAAACUUUACCAAGUUAGAUGUUACCAUCUUGAAAUAUAGGUAGUUUUUGGCUCCGAUCUUAUCCUGACCAUUUUUUAAGUCGAGCUUUUCUUAUUAGGAGAAUAAUUUAGCGUGGCUUAAUCUGAUUCAGUUAGAUCAACAAAAGAUGGCCAUAGAGUAAUUAAUUUCAUUCAUUAAGAAAUACAAAAAAAUGUUUAUUUUAAUUUAUAGAUGUGCAAAAUUUAUAGAUUGAAACAAGCGAACAUUUCAAUAUUGAUAUAUGUUUGUUUUUUUUUUGAAACUGGUAACAUGUAUUCAUCAUCAUUAAGGGCAUGUUGGCCACCUCCAAAAGUGUGAUUACAUAGAUAGCUAAUUACAAAAGACCUAGGAAAUCCACUGUUUGUAUUUCAUCUACUAUACAAUGCUCUUUACACCAAAAACAUAAAGUAGAAAUACAUUUUCCUUUGAUCUUCUGGAUGCAGUUUGAUCUUUCUUUGAAUAUUCUCUUAUUUCUCUCCUUCCAUAUAGUUCACCAUAUAUAAGUCGGAAUAGUUUUUCACCAUCUCUUUUGGCUUUUGCUACCUCCCCUUCUAAUCCAGCAACUCAACAGAUCAGCAGUGUGUUCUGGCAUUGUCCAGUUACUCCAGCCAAGGUGAUGAAUAGGGACCAAACUUGGGAAGUCACCUUACAGUGUAGGAAAAGGUGGUUGUUUCAUUGGCUUCCAUACAAAGAGGGCAUAUAGAAGCUAAAUGAAAUUUCAUUUUCUGUAAUGCCUCGUGGGUGAGACAUGCCUUCCUCACUACCAGCCAAGAAAAGCAUCUCACUUUUGCGGGUGCCAUGCUUCCCCAAGUGGUUUUCCAAGGCCCUCUACUUCUUCCAACUAGCACUAAAAGACCGCUCUUGUAGACUCUGUUAACUAAGAAUUUGACAUCAAUGUUGUGUCUCCAUCUGAUGGUAUCAAGCUCACUGAUAGUCCCUGUGAAGGUACCUAUUCUACCAAGUAAAGCAACCACUUGUUCUACCGCCCAGUCAUUGAAAAGCCUUCUGAAAAUUAAGUUUCAUCCCUGAGUUGUCUAGAUGUCCUCUAUUAUGGUGUUUUGGUUGGUGCUGAUGUUGAGCUAUUAAGGACAUGUACGAUGGAGGGAAGACCAGGGUGAGGACGGCGGGAGGAGACUCAGAGCAUUUUCCGGUCGAGACAGGGUUGUAUCAGGGAUCGACUCUUAGUUCGUUCCUUUUUGCGUUAGUGAUGGACGUGCUGACUCGGAAUAUUCAAGGCGAAGUGCCUUGGUGUAUGUUAUUUACGGAUGAUAUAGUGUUGAUUGAUGAGAUGUGGGGGGUGUGAAUGACAAAUUAGAGGUUUGGAGGCAAACCCUUAAGUCUAAGGGGUUCAGGUUGAGUAGGUCCAAGACGAAGUAUUUGGAGUGCAAGUUUAGUGACUUGAGGCAGGAGGACGAAGCGGUGGUGAGGUUGGAUUCCCAGGGUAUUUGUAAGAAAGAUAGUUUUAAGUAUCUUGGGUCUAUAAUUCAGGGGAAUGGUGAGAUUGAUGAGGAUGUCGCUAAACGUAUUGGAGCGGGUUGGAUGAAGUGGAGGCUCACCUUGGGAGUGUUGUGCGAUAAGAAGGUGCCCCUUAAGCUUAAAGGCAAAUUCUAUAGAGUAGCAGUCCGUCCGGCCAUGUUGAAUGGAGCGGUUGGUUGGCCUAUCAAACACUCCCACAUCUAAAAAACGAAGGUGGCGGAAAUGAGGAUGUUUUGUUGGAUGUGUGGGCAUACUAAAAGGGACAAAGUUAGGAAUAAGAUUAUCCAGGAGAAGGUGGGAGUGGCUUUGGUGGAGGACAAGAUGCGGGAAGAAAGGCUGAGAUGGUUUAGGCAUGUGAUGAGGAGGGACGCGGAUGCCCCAGUUCGUAGGUGUGAGAGGCUAGUGUUGGAUGGCUUCAUGAGGAGUAGAGGUAGGUCGAAGAAAUACUGGAGAGAGGUGAUUAGAUAUGACAUGGAGCAGUUACAGCUUUCUGAGGACAUGACCCUAGAUAGGAAGGUGUGGAGGUCGCGGAUAAGGGUAGUAGGCUAGUGUGAGUGUGGGGUUGUAGCAGGCAGUCAGGAGAGAUCUUGUGUAGCCGGGUUAAGGUGUUCAUAGGGAUCUUUGGUUUGUGAGGGCAUGGUACUACUAGGUGGGUGUCCUAUUCCCUAUUUCUGAGUUCCUUUUUUCUUAUUUCGUGUUGCCCUUAUUUCUCGUAUUUCGUGUUUCUCUGAUUUCUAUUUUAUUAUUCCUUACUCCUUAUUUCUGUUGUGUCAUCCAUCCCCUUGUUUAUUAUUCUUUAUCUUGAGCCAGGGGUCUAUCGAAAACCUCUCUCUUCUUCGGAGGUAGCAGUAUGGACUGCGUACAUCUUACCCUUCCCAGACCCCACUUUGUGAGAAUACACUGGGUUUGUUGUUGUUGUUGUUGUUUGUUGGUGUUGAAUAGGCUGGGGAAAGCUGCUUAUAAUGUGCCUUGUCCAUCCCAGUUAUCCUUUCAAAAAAGGAUUUUGCUACAGUACCCACUUGAAAAAAAUUUCCCUAGGCUGGUCCAAAAAGAUCUUAUGGUUCUCCAUAACCCAACUCUAUAAGCGUCAGUGGCUUCAUCAAUACACCACUGAAUUUUGACCAUAUUUCUGUUGUAUUACAUUCUUCCAUAAGGCGGGUCUGUCCUCAACAUAUCUCCAUAGCCAUUUCUUGAGUAGGUUAUUAUUUUGAAGUUUCAGAUUUCUAACCCCCAUACCUCCAUGAUUUUUGCACUGUUGAACAAUGUUCCAUUUCACCAGGUUGAAACCUUUGUGCGCCUUGUUGCCAUGCCAUAAGAAGAUUCUUCUCAACUUGUCUAAAGCUUUGAGAACUUUAGCUUGGAAAAAGCGACAUUACAUAAGUUGGUAAAAAAUCCAGCACAGAGUUGAUUAGGAUAAGCCAGCCCCCUAGAGAUGGUACUGUGCCUUCCACAUAGCAAGCUUCUUUUCCGUUUACUCUAUGAUGUUGUCCCAAAUCUCUAAUGCCUUGUGUUUUGCCCCCAGUGGAAGUCCCAGUUAAAUCGCAAGAAGUUUUCCUAUGUCGCAGCUCAAAAUAUUGGCUAGAGUCUGAAUUUGUGUAACCUCAUUUAUAGGAAAGAUGUUUUUCGUCCAGUUUAUCUUUAGGCCUGAGACUGCUUCAAAUAUGACUAACAUUAGUCUCGAGUAGAGCCGUCAAAAUAGGCUUGUUUGACCCAACCCAACCCGCUAUUGUGAUUUUUUAGCCUAUUUAAAUAUGGGGCUUGUAAGCCCAGCCCAAGUCAUCGAGAAUUAUUUGCAGAUGAAGAGAUGUCAAAGGGGCUUCUUACUUCCCAAGCAGAUCCUCCUACAUCUAUAUAUAAACGCCGCUGGCCCUUGAGGCUAGACUAGGUUGGCUCGUGGGUCAAAAUACCAUUUAAUUUAAAUUAAAAAUAUAUGAAUAUUGUAAAAGAAAAAGUAAUAAUUAAGAAUAGUAGUUAUUGAAUAAGUUUAAUAUCCUAUACAAUAUUUAACUUAUUGAGUGUUAAACCUUAAUCAUCAAGUAUUGAUGUUUCAUUUGUUAUUGUUAUUCAAUUUAAACUUAAAAUUAAAAAAAAUUAUAAGCAAAAAAAAUUAAAAAUAUAAAUAGUGAUUACUCAAUAAAUUUUACCUAGUAUCUUACAUAAUAUUUUACUCAUUAGCAUUAAAUGAAAAAUAUUAAAAUUUCUAAUAGUAAAUAUAAAAAUUGCAUCCAUUAUGAAAUGUUCAAAUACUUGUUGCAGCCUAGAAAUCAAUUGCACAACAUUACCCAAAUUCAAAGUGAUAAUAUUUUUAAGUGAAUUUUAAAUAUUAUUAAUUUUUGAUAUAUAACUUUUAGAUAUUGUUCAACUUGUUAAAUUUGCAUAUGAAUUUAGAUGAAUGUUGAUGUUAAUUAAGAUAAUGUAAUCAAUGAAUUCAAAUUAGUUUGACAAUGUAUUGGUGUUGAAAAGAUUAUAAAUCAUCGUAGAAUUAUGUACUUUAUAUAAUAAUGUGUUAGAAGUGCGAAUGAAUUGCCAUAUCUAUUAGUUCAAAUUGAAAAAGAAAAUCUAACAAAAAUUUGAUAAAAAUAAAGGGCUAGCCCGGCCCAACCCGUGACCCUAUUAGGGUUGGGUUGGGCCAUACAUUUUAAGGUCAUUUAAAGUGAAGGGCCGGCCCGUCCUAGCCCAUCAAAUUCUUUGGCCCGUGAGGCUUGGGCUGGGCUAGCCCAUUUUGACAACUAUAGUCUCAAGAAACUGAUUUGCUCACUAGUAGCAUCACAAAAAACUGUGUCAUCUGCAUAGAGUAAAUGACAUAUCUCCACUGUCUUGCUGCCUACUUUAAAACCUUUUAGCCAUUUUUUUUUUGUAUUGCAAUCUUUAUCAUGCUAUUCAGCCCUUCCAUGGCUAUGAUGAAUAGAAAAGGGGUAGGAGAUCCCCUUAUCUUAGCCCUUUUUCUGCUGGGAAAAAAACAAUUGGUUCUCCAUUCACCAAAAUUGAGAACCGGGUGGUUUUAAUGCAAAAAUUAAUCCAAUUUAACCAUCUUCUUCAAAGCCCAUUUGCCCCGGAAUAUUGAGUAAGAAUUUCCAAUUGAUAUGAUCAAAUGUCUUCUCAAUGUCUAGUUUGCAUAUCACCCCUGAUUUUGUGUCUCUCAGUCUAGUGUCAACACACUCACUUGUUAUCAAAGUUGCAUCCAUGAUUUGCCUUCCUUUAAUAAAGGCCAUUUGGUGUGUGUUGAUCAGCUUGUCUACACCUUCUUCAACCUUUCAGCUAGUACUUUGGCAAUGAUCUUGUACAUUCCAGUGAUGAGACUUAUUGGUCUGAAAUCUCUCAAUUCAAUAGCACCCACCUUCUUUAGGAUUAGAGCUACAAAAGUUGCAUUGAAGCGUUUUUCAAAGACCUGUCGUGAGUGAAAGUUUUGUAGAGUGAGUAGUAUGUCUGAUUUCAAUAGUUCCCAGAAAGUAAUGAAAAAUGACAUUGGAAAUCCGUCAGGGCUUGGAGCUUUGUCUGAUGCACACUGUUUAAGCCCCUCUAGUACUUCAUCUUCUUCAAAUUGUCUUUCCAACCAUACUUGUUCUUUUGUAGAUAUCAUGGUAUUCCUUUAGAGAGUGAAAUCAGGUCUCCAGUUCUCGGAUUCUUUGUAUAGUUUCUAAUAAAAGCUCACAAUGGAGUUUUUUAUGCUUUCAGGAUCAGUGACUUCGACCCCCUCCACCUUGAGCAUGUCAGUGGAGUUGAAUCUUCUAUGGGCCUUGGCUAUCUUGGGGAAGUAGUUGGUGUUUUAUCACCAUUUUUGAUCCAUUGUACCCUGAAUCUUUGUCUCCAAGCAAUCUCCUCAUUUCUGGACACCUCUUCAAAUUCCAUAGCCAGAUGAAUUUUUUACAGCUAUUCAUCAUCUGUCAAAAGCCGAAGAUCCUGGAUGGAUUCCAGAUUUCUCAAUUGGGAGAGGAUCUGAUCCUACCUUUCCUUCCAGUUGUUCCUGUUGGCUUUGCUCCAUUCUUUAAGUUUGACUUUCAACUGACUAAGCUUAGAAACCAGUUGAAAAUCAGGUCUGCCGAUGGCAUUGAAACUGCUCCACCAGUCUUUCACCUUGUCUAUGAAUCCCUCCUCCUUAAGCCACCAAUUUUCAAAUUUAAAAUAAGAUUUCAUGUGUUUCCAGUCACCACAAGAUAAUAAAAUGGGGCUAUGGUCGGAGCCAAGAUGAGGAAGGACACUUUGAUUGAUUUUGGAAAAACUUUCAGCCCAUUGAGGUGAGAAUAGAAAUCUAUCUAUUCUUGAAGCACAACUAUAAUUUUGACCUCUCCUCCAUGUGUUAUUUCCUCCGGAAAGAGAAGGAUCCAAAAGUUCCAAAUCAUUUAUGCAAAGGUUAAAAUCAUGGCUCUACUUAUUCUGUUGAGCCAUGGCUACCUAUAUUUCAAGAUGGUAAUGUCUAUCUUGGUAAAGUUUGACGACAAUUGGCCAAGUUAAGAUCGAAGCCAUAGACUACCUAUAUUUUAAGAUGAUAACACCUAACCUGGUAUCUAAUACACCUUUAUUUAGUUUCAUACGAAAAUAGUUACUACUUACAACUAAGAAUCCUCUAUUUCAAACUAUUCCAAAAUAUUUAAAGGAGCUUAAAUAAUAGUUUGAAAUAGAGAAUUCUUAGUUGUAAGUAGUAACUAUUUUCGCAUGAAACUAAAUAAAGGUGUAUUAGAUACCAGGUUAGGUGUUAUCAUCUUAAAAUAUAGGUAGUCUAUGGCUUUGAUCGUAUCCUGGCCAAUUGUCGUCAAACUUUACCAAGAUAGACAUUACCAUCUUGAAAUAUAGGUAGUUUAUGGCUCCGAUCUUAUCCUAACCUUGAAACAAGCGAACAUUUCAAAUGUUGGCUAAGAAAUUUGAAAUAUCAAUUUCGACAAUAUUUGAAUAUGCAUAAAAAAAUAAUCAAUUUAACGGUUAAUUUUUUUAAAACACAAAUAUUUAUUGAAUAUUAAAUAGUGAUAUACAUAUAUGAUUAUAGUAGUUGAAGAGCUUAUAGGAGCACAAUUUUAUUUUCUUUAAUUUUGGAAGAAACCACAUUUUGGGGAUAUUAAGCUCCUUUAAAAUAUAUUAAAAAUAAAUUUCCACUUAAAUUUAUUUUUGUUACUGCCUAAUACUCAUCAACCUGUCACUCGACUUCCAUUGAAAUUUUUCUAAAUUACUUUUGAGAUGAAUCAAUAUGAAAUAAUUGCACAAAACAAUGAUCAAAACUAUGUAUUUACACAUAGUGGGGAGAGAAAAAGAGAAAUUUUAUUCAUUUAAAGAAAAGUAUUCAAGAAGAAGAGAAAUUAGUUGCAUAUUCUCUUACUAAUUAUUUAUUAAAUGAAAAUAUAUAUUAUACUCAGAUAAGAUUUUCUUCCUUCAUAGUAACCAAGUUAAAAUCUAAUCAUCUUGGGAUCCAAGAUGAGGCUCCUCUUCGUUACUCAUUCUCUUCAUUUUCCCAAAUUCCUUGUCAUAAUUAAGAAGUAAAGGUUGAGAUUUAAUAAUUCAAAACAAGGUUCUAACUAUGAUUAGAAAAACAAAAAUUUCCUUUAUUUACUCAAACAAUUUAUCAAUCCCAUAAUUCUAGUUAAAAAUUAUGUCAUACAUAAAACUAUUUAAAACUUGUACCUCCUGGCUAAAGCUUGACCGAUGGAAAGAGAAUAACUCGACCCAAACCAAAAGAAUAUAGCCAUACAUAUGAGUUAAAACCCAAUGUCAAUAUGUUAUGUUGAUGCACAAGCGUUUAUGUUAUGUUGAUGCACAAGCGUGGGAGUGAUACAGAAUUGGAAGAACGAGUUUUUGGAAAUUUUGUGUGGAAGAAUGGAUCGUACAUAUCACCCACGAGUCGUAUAAGUGAUCUACGACCACUUUACUGAACUUACAGACCGUACUUAUGGUCCAUACAGUGACCAAUGCAGGAACUACUAUUGGGAUCUUAAAGAUUCUAAGAAUGGAGAGCAUGUAUGGCCAUAAGACGAAUCUAUGGACAGUACACGGUGUCGUGGUUGCAACCUCCGCAAAGUUGAGCUAUUUUUUUAGGCAUGGGUACAAUGUACAAGCAACCUAUGGACCAUAAGUGGCAUCUAAGACCGCACAUAGAACAAUGAAUGAGUUACCAAAUUUAUCGGAGUUCACAUAUGGGCCUUAAGUGGGAUUCACGAUGCAUACAUGAGCCAUACUUGACCAAGCCAAUUUUCGAAGCUAGUGAUAAGGACCUGAUGCCUAUGUAUGUCCAACCAAUGGACCAUUACUGAUAUUUACAAACCACACAUGGCAUCCAGGCUGGCAGUAAGUGGCCCAAAGCAGUUAUAAUGAAUGCACAUUUUCUGGAUUUUUCAUUCAUUCUUCAAUUUUCCAAGCCAUAGAACUACAAUUUUCUCUCUUAUUCCUCCCACACCAAGGUAAGCUUAUACUAUGAUUUUAGGUGUUUCUAACAAUUAGAUAUGGUUUCUGACAAAGAUUCGACACUAGAUUCUUAUGAUUUUCAAGAAAAUCAUUCUCAAGGUUCAAGAACAGAUAUUUAGAGUUCCUCUUCAAAGUUAGAGUUUACUUCCAUUGUAUUGGAGCGAUUAAGGUAUGAGGCUAAUCUCUUCUUGUGGGAAGUUUUGUUCUUCCCACGAUUAAGUUUCUUCGUGCACCAGGACUUCUCCUCAAUAAAAUGGUUAGGGUUCAAAUAUGAAAUGUACGUACCGUUCAUAUAAAUUCAUUACAAACAUCAUGAAUCCCUUGCGAUAUUCUUAGAUUCUAUGGAGAAACCUAUUCUAUGAGUUUCAUUGUUGUCACCGUGAAAAUACGAUACAACAACAACAACAAACCCAGUGUAUUUCCACCUGGUGGGGUCUGGGGGGUAGGAUGUACGCAGUCCAUACCUCUACCUCUGAAGAAGUAGAAAGGCUGUUUCCGAUAGACCCCCGGCUCAAGACACGCGGUACCACACAAACACAUAGUAAAGCACAGCACAAGGUUACAAGAUUACAUAACAUAAAUACGGCACCCAUAAGUAAUCUAAAACAAAGGAAAACACACAGAUCCAUAAUAAAACAUGGGACACGGGCUCCUAACAUGCAUAAACCCCCACCAAGUAGUUCCCCCACAAAGUAGUCCCCGACACUAUCGUCUCAGGCUGGCCCUCGUCCUCUGCCCUGAUUCGCGUCCUCCAGACCUUCCUAUCUAGGGUCAUGUCCUCGGUGAGCUGUAACUGCUCCAUGUCUCGCCUAAUCACCUCACCCCAGUACUUCUUCGGCCUACCCCUACCCCGCUUAAACCCAUCCAACGCUAGCCUCUCACACCUACGGACCGGGGCAUCCAUGCCCCUCCUCUUCACGUGUCCGAACCAUCUCAAAAAUACGAUUUUAAUUAGUCCAGGGAUAAUAGGACUCUCCUAAAGUUUGGACGUGUCUCAGCCUUUUCAUGUGUAGUUCAAGGCGGAAAUAGAGCAUUUUUUCAAAAAAGAAUAAAAAAUUCUUAUCACCACAUCGACCCUUAUAUUGUUGACAAUGCAUUCUUUAUUGGUCUCGCAAAAAAUUGUGUUGCUUCAUAAUUUCGCCCUUUAACACUUAGGGGUCGUUUGGUAGAGUGUAUUGAAAAACUAAUGCAUGCAUUAGUUUAAUGUGUAUUACUAAUAAAUACCUUGUUUGGUAUACUUUUGCACCCUAUGUAUAACUAAUGUAUUAGUUAUACAGUCUAUUGUGUAUUGAAGUGUGUAUUACUAAUACCUCAAAAUCCACAGUAUUAGCAAUGCAAUGGAUCCAAUACAUGUGUUAACAUGAUUAAAGACACUAUUAUCCCUUAAAAAAAUUUUACAUUCUUUCCAAUAUAUAUAUAAAGGAUAUUUUUGUAAAUUUUUUUUUUUAGAAAUUAUUUAAUUUAUAUUAUUUUUAAUACAUCAAACCAAAUACUGCAUAAGAAAAAUACAAGCAUAACUAAUGUAAGCAUAACUAACACAAACAUUAGUAAUAUAAGUAUUAUUAAUACAUCAUAUUUUGCAUCAUUCUUAUACACUCUACCAAACGACCCCUAAGUGUAUGUAGUCCAAAUCACUAUUUUAAAGGUGGGACCAAAAAGUUGCUUUAAGGAUCUAAACUAAUUUGCAUAGGAUCUAGUUUACUAUUUUAAAGGUGGGACCGAAAAGUUGCUUCAAGGAUCUAAACUAAUUUGCAUAUUACAAGGAUCUAGUUUGUAAGGCCGCACUAUUGAUAAUUUUUUUUUUUUUCAUUUUUAAAGAUAUGAGAUCUCUAGUUAAGAAUGAAGGAAUUUUAACUUUUCAAAUACCACGUUCAUAGUAGAGUUGCAGUAGCAAAAUCAAAUAUGUACGUCCUCUAGUCCAUAUUAAGUGAAGUAUUAUGACUUUUUUCACAGCUUAAUAAGGAAAUUUUAACAUAAAUUGUCAAUUACAACUGUUGAACCCUUGAGAAAGUUUACACCAAAUUAUCCUCUUUAACUAGUCCUUGUAACUAUUCAGUUCCAAGUAGAGAAAUUAUAAUACCUUCAAUUUUUUUUGUGUAAUGUCGAAGUCAGAUGAAUUUUAUUCAGGAAUUGGUGCCUGGGAAGCCUUCUUAUGGUGUUUAAGUUUAGAUGCCAUUAUACAAAGUUGCGCAAAAUAAAUUUUAUGGCCAACUUAUCAAGGUUUUUAUGCUUUCCCUGACGACCGACACCAAUUUUGUUUAACUUCUUUUAAUGGAAGUGACACUAAAUGAUCCUAUUUAUCCAAUUUUAUUGGAGUAAAAUAGUUAGCGAGUACUCAUGCAGCUAACCCAUAGUUUUCUAACUCAAUUGUAGCAUAGCCUAAGAAAUAAGAAGAUAUGAUCACAAGCCAAUACUUGACAUGUACCCCUCUUUGAGGUCCAUCACAAGAAAUGAAGAAAAUUGAAGUGCGAACAAAUAGAACACCUUUCAAGAGUAUUAAUACCGUCACAUGAAUCGUCAAUGCAUGAAUAUGAUGUACCAAGAAAUUGACGAUGGAAUAGGCAACAAAGCCACCAUGCCAUGCACUGCCACCAAAUCACCCCCAGCUGAUGGAGUUCAGAAGUAAAUAUACGGACUAGUCGAAGGGGGGUUCAACAUCUACUUACUAUAUAUACAUAAAAAUAUUUUUGACCAUAUAAAAAUAAUAUAAUUUUCCAACGAAGGGGGUUGGAAACCCCUGAAAUGUAUGUGGCUCCGCCACUGAUCACCCACCUCCCCACCCCACCCCCAAGUUAAACUGGCACCAGGUGCUAAAGCAUGGACGUUUUGUAUCCAUUGAGCAAAUAUGAAUUUGUAAUUGGUAUAGCUAUAUAUGAAAACAAAACAUAUCUUGAGGACGCCCUUUGCUUUUGUUUUGUCGUAUUGAACUAAAUAACAUUCACUUUAAGCAGAGGGUGCAAUAAGUACUUGUUUCCAAAUACAAAAGAAGAAGAAAACAAUCCUUAAUAUGUAUAGGGGAAGAUAAUUAGACAAGCAGGUUAGGGCCCGUCAAAGUGUCGAGCCAAGCCAAAAUAUAAGCAUCCACGUAAAUACAUGUGGGAGGUAUAUAUAUAUAUUAAUAGAGACCUAAAAAUUAAGUCUGCAUCCACGUAAAUACCUCCACACAAUUAACAGCUCCUCAAUUUGUUGGAAUGUUCCACGCCUCGCAAAAAGCACGAGCACUGACGAAGAAAAUAGUAAAGUGAAUUAGAUUCUUGAAACUAGCAUGACAAUAAUAAGAGUGAAAUAUAGAUGUCAAGGCAUAAUAACCUUCUUAACUGAUACAUAAGAUAUUGACAUAUAAUUAAAUGUGCAUUUCUUAAGCACAACGAAAACAAUUGCAUCAAUCACAAGCUGCAAAACAUAAGUCGAUAUCAAACCAAAAACUUAUCAAAAAUCUCUGUCCUCCUACACACGAAUACUGAAUUCCAUAAAAGCAACAGUCAUGUCUUCCGUAUUGAAAGAUACAACUCCUAGAUUCGUCCGCCAGUAGAGAAAUUAUAACACCUUUUUCAUGUAAUGUUGAAAGGAGAUGAAUUUAAUUCAGGAAUUGGCGCGAGGAAGCCUUCGUAUGAUAGUUAAGCUUAGGUGCCAUUAUAAAAA